AUUAUUUAGGUCUAAUACUAAUCCCGAAGGUAGAUGUAGAGGUAGCGUGCCGACCGCGAUCACAUCGACUUUGGAACCAUUUCCCACGCGCAUCGUCACCUUGUCCUUAGCCAAUCUUCGCUUAAUCUGUAGUCCCUGUUUCGAGUUGCAAAUGUUAGCAAUAGAACCAGUAUCAAAUACCCAGGUUCUACUGCGAGCAUUAGUAAGGUACACAUCAAUAACAUGUAUAUCACAUAUACCUUUGUUCACCUUGCCAUCCUUCUUAUCCGCCAAAUACUUGGGGCAGUUCCGCUUCCAGUGACCAGUCUGCUUGCAGUAGAAGCACUCGGUUUCAGGCUUAGGUCCAGGUUUGGGUUUCUUCUCUUGAGUAGCAACUUGCUUGCUGUUCUUUUUGAAGUUCCCCUUCUUCUUUCCUUUGCCUUUUUUCUUGAAACUAGUGGUCUUGUUGACCAUCAACACUUGAUGCUCCUUCUUGAUUUCUACCUCCACAGCUUUCAGCAUUGCGAAGAGCUCGGGAACAGUCUUAUUCAUCCCUUGCAUAUUAUAGUUCAUCACGAAGCUCUUGUAGCUUGGUGGCAGUGAUUGGAGAAUUCUGUCAAUGACGCAAUCAUCUAAAAGAUUAACUCCCAAUUGAAUCAAGUGAUUAAUAUACCCAGACAUUUUGAGUAUAUGCUCACUGACAGAACUGUUCUCCUCCAUCUUGCAGCUAUAGAACUUAUUGGAGACUUCAUAUCUCUCAAUCCGGGCAUUUGCUUGAAAUAUUAACUUCAACUCCUGGAACAUCUCAUAUGCUCCAUGACGUUCAAAACGUCGUUGAAGUCCUGAUUCUAAGCCGUAAAGCAUGGCACACUGAACUAUCGAGUAGUCACCAGCUUUGCUCUGCCAGACGUUCAUAACAUCUGGUGUUGCUCCAGUAGCAGGCCUGGCACCCAGCGGUGCUUCCAGGAUGUAAUUCUUCUGUGCAGCAAUGAGGAUAAUCCUCAAGUUACGGAUCCAGUCCAUGUAAUUGCUACCAUCAUCUUUCAACUUUGCUUUCUCAAGGAACGCAUUAAAAUGAACGGAACAACAGCACAGGCCAUCUAUCUACAAUCAAACAUAAACAAGCAAGAUACUAUCAGGUACUAAGUUCAUGAUAAAUUUAGGUUCAAUUAAUCAUAUUACUAAAGAACUCCCACUUAGAUAGACAUUCCUCUAAUCCUCUAAGUGAUUACGUGAUCCAAAUCAACUAAACCAUGUCCGAUCAUCACGUGAGAUGGAGUAGUUUCAUUGGUGAACAUCACUAUGUUGAUCAUAUCUACUAUAUGAUUCACGCUCGACCUUUCGGUCUCCGUGUUCUGAGGUCAUAUCUGUAUAUGCUUGGCUCGUCAAGUAUAACCUGAGUAUUCCGCAUGUGCAACUGUUUUGCACCCGUUGUAUUUGAACGUAGAGCCUAUCACACCCGAUCAUCACGUGGUGUCUCAACACGAAGAACUUUCGCAACGGUGCAUACUCAGGGAGAACACUUCUUGAUAAUUAGUGAGAGAUCAUCUUAAAAUGCUACCGUCAAACAAAGCAAGAUAAGAUGCAUAAAAGAUAAACAUCACAUGCAAUCUAUAUAAGUGAUAUGAUAUGGCCAUCAUCAUCUUGUGCUUGUGAUCUCCAUCUUCGAAGCACAGUCGUGAUCACCAUCGUCACCGGCGCGACACCUUGAUCACCAUCAUAGCAUCGUUGUCGUCUCGCCAAUCUUAUGCUUCCACGACUAUCGCUACCGCUUAGUGAUAAAGUAAAGCAUUACAGCGCAAUUGCAUUGCAUACAAUAAAGCGACAACCAUAUGGCUCCUGCCAGUUGCCGAUAACUUGGUUACAAAACAUGAUCAUCUCAUACAAUAAAAUUUAGCAUCAUGUCUUGACCAUAUCACAUCACAACAUGCCCUGCAAAAACAAGUUAGACGUCCUCUACUUUGUUGUUGCAAGUUUUACGUGGCUGCUACGGGCUUAAGCAAGAACCAAUCUUACCUACGCAUCAAAACCACAACAAUAGUUUGUCAAGUUGGUGUUGUUUUAACCUUCGCAAGGACCGGGCGUAGCCACGCUCGGUUCAACUAAAGUUGGAGAAACUGACACCCGCUAGCCACCUUUGUGCAAAGCACGUCGGGAGAACCGGUCUCGCGUAAGCGUACGCGUAAUGUCGGUCCGGGCCGCUUCGUCUAACAAUACCGCCGAACCAAAGUAUGACAUUCUGGUAAGCAAUAUGACUUAUAUCGCCGACAACUCACUUGUGUUCUACUCGUGCAUAUAACAUCAACACAUAAAACCUAGGCUCGGAUGCUACUGUUGGGGAACGUAGAAAUUUCAAAAUUUUCCUACGCACACGCAAGAUCACGGUGAUGCAUAGCAACGAGAGGGGAGAGUGUGAUCUACGUACCCUUGUAGACCGACAGCGGAAGCGUUAUGACAACGCGGUUGAUGUACUCGUACGUCUUCACGGCCCGACCGAUCAAGCACCGAAACUACAAACACCUCCGAGUUUUAGCACAUGUUCAGCUCGAUGACGAUCCCCGGACUCCGAUCCAGCAAAGUGUCGGGGAAGAGUUCCGUCAGCACGAUGGCGUGCUGACGAUCUUGAUGUUCUACCAUCGCAGGGCUUCGCCUAAGCACCGCUACAAUAUUAUCGAGGAUUGUGGUGGAAGGGGGAACCGCACACGGCUAAGAAAGCAAUCACGUGGAUCAACUUGUGUGUCUAGGGGUGCCCCCUGCCCCCGUAUAUAAAGGAGCAAGGGGAGGAGGCCGUCCGACCCUAUAGGCGUGCCAAGUAGGAGUCCUCCUCCUAGUAGGAGUAGGACUCCUACUAGGAGGGGGAAGGAAGUGGGGAGGGAGAAGGAAAGAGGGGGCGCCGCCCCCCUCUCCUAGUCCAAUUCGGACCAGGGGGAGGAGGCGCGCGGCUCACCCUGGCUGCCCUUCUCUNNNNNNNNNNNNNNNNNNNNNNNNNNNNNNNNNNNNNNNNNNNNNNNNNNNNNNNNNNNNNNNNNNNNNNNNNNNNNNNNNNNNNNNNNNNNNNNNNNNNNNNNNNNNNNNNNNNNNNNNNNNNNNNNNNNNNNNNNNNNNNNNNNNNNNNNNNNNNNNNNNNNNNNNNNNNNNNNNNNNNNNNNNNNNNNNNNNNNNNNNNNNNNNNNNNNNNNNNNNNNNNNNNNNNNNNNNNNNNNNNNNNNNNNNNNNNNNNNNNNNNNNNNNNNNNNNNNNNNNNNNNNNNNNNNNNNAAAUCACCCGAAACACUUUCGGUGUCCGAAUAUAGCAAUCUUUAUGUCUCGGCCAUUUCGAGACUCCUCGUUAUGUCCGUGAUCACAUCCGGGACUCCGAACAACCUUCGGUACAUCAAAACUCAUAAACUCAUAAUAUAACUGUCAUCGAAACCUUAAGCGUGCGGACCCUACGGGUUCGAGAACAAUGUAGACAUGACCGAGACAUGUCUCCGGUCAAUAACCAAUAGCGUAACCUGGAUGCUCAUAUUGGCUCCCACAUAUUCUACAAAGAUCUUUAUCGGUCAGACCACAUAACAACAUAUGUUGUUCCCUUUGUCAUCGGUAUGUUACUUGCCCGAGAUUUGAUCGUCGGUAUCUCAAUACCUAGUUCAAUCUCGUUACCAGCAAGUCUCUUUACUUGUUUCGUAAUACAUCAUCUCGCAACUAACUCAUUAGUUGCAAUGCUUGCAAGGCUUAUGUGAUGUGUAUUACCGAGAGGGCCCAGAGAUACCUCUCCGACAAUCGGAGUGACAAAUCCUAAUCUCGAAAUACGCCAACCCAACAUUUACCUUUGGAGACACCUGUAGAGCUCCUUUAUAAUCACCCAGUUACGUUGUGAUGUUUGGUAGCACACAAAGUGUUCCUCCGGCAAACGGGAGUUGCAUAAUCUCAUAGUCAUAGGAACAUGUAUAAGUCAUGAAGAAAGCAAUAGCAACAUACUAAACAAUCGGGUGCUAAGCUAAUGGAAUGGGUCAUGUCAAUCACAUCAUUCUCCUAAUAAUGUGAUCCCGUUAAUCAAAUGACAACACAUGUCUAUGGUUAGGAAACAUAACCAUCUUUGAUUAACAAGCUAGUCAAGUAGAGGCAUACUAGUGACGUUUAGUUUGUCUAUAUAUUCACACAAGUAUUAUGUUUCCAGAUAAUACAAUUCUAGCAUGAAUAAUAAACAUUUAUCAUGAUAUAAGGAAAUAAAAUAAUAACAUUAUUAUUGCCUCUAGGGCAUAUUUCCUUCACUUCAAGGACCAAGCUUUGGAGGCGAGCGACAAGGUGGCGAGCAAGGAUGAUGCUUCCAUCUUUGGAGAUGAGAGGGAUGAUGUGCCAUCUUCGGCCUUCAUCCAAGGCGACAAUGACGAGAUGAUCGAGCAUGGGAUUUUCCCUUUGGUCAUAGAGGAGAGCGAUGAUGUGCCAUCUUCGACCUUCAUCCUUGGUGACAGCGAUGAGAUGGUUGAGUAUUUCACUUCGACCACGAUGACGUAUGAUGACUUGAGUGACUUGUUCCACUAUAUUGAGAGUGAGAGUGACUUCACCUCUAGCCCCAUAUAUGAUAAGUUUCCACAAUUUCCAUGUGAGGAGAGCCACAACCCCCACCACUUGGGUGAGAUGAGUGACUCCACCAUAUGUGAGUUUGAGUGCACCUACUUUGAGGGAGUGAGUGAACCAUCACAUUGAGAGAGGGAGAUAGUUGAUAGGUCUCGUGAGGCCAUUUGCAUUUCUAACAACUUGACCUCUACCUCUAUUGUGUCUUCUCAUUUGGUGCUAGGUCCCAUUUAUGAUGACGCGCCGGUCCUCGACGACUUCGUCCUCCCUUUGGACAAGACGAUAGCCAUGGUGGAAUAUGAUGCACCCCCACAUGGUUCCAUCAAGAUAAACAUGACCAACAUUUGGUCUUUCCCACCUCACCUACACCACUUGAGUGGAAUGAGAAUGGUAACAUAGGUGAAGGUGAUGCUCUAGUCCCACUAGUGGACAUUCUUGGCAUUGAUUGCUUGCAUGAUGUUGAUCAACCUAUUUCCAUGCUUCAUGCUAGUGCGACUUCCUCAUGUCUUGACUUACCAAUUUAUGAUGACUAUGAUGAUGAGCAUGUUGAGUUGCCUAGUUGUGAUGCCAUGUUACAUAGGAUUUCUUGUGACAAUUCCCUUGGUCACAUCAUGUUUGAUAAUCUGCUUGACUUGUCAUAUGCUAUGCAUGAGAUCAACCAUAUGUUUUAUUUGCAAUCUCUUCAUAGUGACUAUGCAUAUGCCAUUAAAAUAAACCCAAUUUGCACAUAUGGCAUAGAUGACAAGCCCAUGGUUAUUGGCAUUUGUUUUUCUUGUGAUGAUAUUGAUAUGCUACCUUUGCAUCAUUUAUCUCAUAUGCCAUGCCAUGCCCACCUAGCUUCGGAUAUGCAUUGUUUUGGAUGUUGUCCAUUUUCUCCAUAUGAUGUUUCCAAUGUUGUUCAUGAGGAGACCCCCAUAGUUUCCUCAUAAAUGUUAGGCUUCAGGUGCAAUAAUGACUUCAGGGGACACAUUCACCUCUGGCGCCACAUUUGCUUCAGCCAUGACAACGUCAUUGGCUUUAGUAUUGGUGUUGGUGGCCGCCUCAGUAUUAUCAACCUCCACUUGAGUAGCUAGAGGGUCGGACACAUUCUCCUCGAGAACAACUUCAUGGUUGGACAGGGGUGUAGCAACACGUUCUUCUUCUUGACGGGGUUCUUCUUGUUCAUCGGCUGAUGCAGCUGGAAUGUCUUCAGCAACUUUGGCUUCAGACUCUGACAAGUUCGCAGUUGGAGUGGCUUCAGGGAACACUUGGCGUGACACUGAGUUUUGGUGCUCUUCUCCUUCUGGAACACUCGAAAGAGUGACUUGUGGCCUUGGUCCUUUGCGAAGCCUGCGAAAUGCGGGCGACGCUUGUGGAGAGGGAGUUGGCUGGGCCUCAAAGUCGUCAUCAUCAAGCACCGCACUGGUGACUUGAGUUGGGGGAGUACUUGGUGAUUCUUCUUCACGGGGGAGUCUUGAGGAUGAUUAGCCUAUGAAUCAUCAUGAGCAAUUGGCGUCAAAGGACGACCAAUGCUGAUGAGUUCGCUGUUCGUGAGAACAGACGAUGAUACCUUUUGGUGCUCAAUCUGAGGAAGAACUUCAUCAUCAUUUAUAUUGUCUUGAGGACCAAUGUCUUCAGCUGCAGUGUGGUCAACAGUUGGAUCUUCUUCAACUUCAGGACCCUUUGUGGUAGCAGGCUCGUGAACUAUUAAACGACGCUCUUCGUGUGCAGAUGCAAGACGAGCAACUGAGAUUAGAUCAACGACAAGGGUGAAAGUGCUAGUUAUCAACUAGAGAGGGGGUGAAUAGGCGAUUUUUAUGAAAGUCUUCAAAACAUGGAAGUUUCAAAGACAAACAAUAGAAAUGACCCUAUUAAUAUGCAGCGGAAGAUAAACUACACUAAGCAAGCCAUAGUCAAGUAUGCAAUAAGGUGAGAGUACGAAGACUAAUAGCAGCUAGGUAGUAAGGAUCAGGAUGGAAGAUGAUAGGAGUCAAACAGUGAAGAAAAAUAGGUAACGCAAACAGGCAAUGACUUCACGAAGACAAACUCUAAGUAAAGAGAGGGAGAGGAUAGAACCAGUCACUUGUUGAGGACACAGGAUUUGUUAGACCAGUUCCAGUUGCUGUGACAACUAUACGUCUGGUUAGGGAGGCUGAGAUUCAACUCAGAAGACCGCGUCUUCACCUUAUUCCCCUUGAGCUAAGGACACCCAGUCCUCGCCCAAUUACUCUGGUAAGUCUUCAAGGUAGACUUCCAAACCUUCACAGACUUUGUUCACCGGCGAUCCACAACAACUCUUGGAUGCUCAGAACGUGACGCCUAACCGGCUGGAGGAUUCACAGUCCUCAAGUGUAAUAAGUCUUCAGGUCACUCAGACAGAAAGACUUCAGUGAUGCCUAACACUCUUUGGCUCUGGGUGUUUGGGCUUUGUCCUCGCAAGGAUUUCUCUCUCUCAAAAGCUUCGAGGUGGGUUGCUCUAAAAAUGACAGAAGCCGUGCACUUACUCUGAGCAGCCACCAAUUUAUGGUGUAGGGGGUGGGCUAUUUAUAGCCACUAGGCAACCCGACUUGAUUUGUCCAAAAUGACCCUGGGUCACUAAGGAACUGACACGUGUUCCAACGGUCAGAUUUCAAACACACACGGCAACUUUACUUGAGCUGCAAGCAAAGCUGACUCAUCCAGCUCUGGAUAAGAUUUGCCCUCAUUGUCUUCGCUCGAAGACAUAGGAUUUGGGUUGAGCAUCACUUCAGUCACUCUGACUUUGUUCACUUGGACCCCACUUAACAGUAGGUGGUUCCUAUGACUCAACAAAGAAGAAAAGGAAACAAUGAAACGACUAAGUCUUCAUGCUCCACAGUCUUCACGCGAUGUCUUCUCUUGUCAUAGUCUUCAAUAUGAAUAUCUUCACAUACCACCAUUGUCGUCAAUGUCUUCAUACAUUUUUAGGGGUCAUCUCCGGUAGGUAAAGCGAAUCAAGGAGGGACUACUACCUGUGUUAUCCUGCAAUUCUCACAAACACAUUAGUCCCUCAACCAGGUUUGUCGUCAAUACUCCAAAACCAACCAGGGGUGGCACUAGAUGCACUUACAAUCUCCCCCUUUUUGGUGAUUGAUGACAAACUGGUUGAAGUUUUCAACGGGGAUAAAAGUAUGUGAAAUGUAAAGGAUUUAGGUAUUGUCUUCAUAAGUGGCAAAGGCUCCCCCUGAAGAUGUGCAUAUUAGUAAUUUGCUUUUGGAAUGCAAAUGCACAUGGCAGGUUGUACUUGUGGAAAUCCUCUUCAACUUAUGAAGACAAUUCAUCAUGCAUGAUUUGAUAUAACAAAGAUAAUGACAUGCAUAAUAAGAAAUGGACGUCUGCAGAAUGACCUAAGUGCGAAAGUUAUCAUCGCACAAGCGGAAUUUAUCAUCGCAUCGCAGAAUAGCAAAUAAGUAGCAGACGACCAUCGAGUUUAAGUGUUACAACUCAAAGAAGCAAAUGUAUCAAAGAGCGAGAGUUGUAAACACUAGGAAGAAUAUAAAGCAACCGCCCAUAUGGACCCGCUUGAAGACUAUCAAACUCAUAUGCUUCUCCCCUUUUGUCAGUAAGGACCAAAAAGGUUUGAAGACAUAGAGCAUCUACUCAUUCCCAUGAGGAGUUGGUGAAGCGGCAGGGUCGUCGGUGUUGUUUGGCGGAGCAGACGAACUUGGUGCAGUGUUGAUUCGCGCUGAAGGUGGUGAAGUAGCAUCGUCUUCAUCAUCGAUGACACGGGCAUUCACUGUUGCAGCAGAGGAGGAGAACUCAGAGUCUUCAAGAGACGGAGUGCGCCGCAGCACAGUCCUUCUUGGAGGUGUUGUGUCAAACUUGAAGCGUUCAGAGAAGCCAUCGUCUUGAAGAUCAUCUUCAGAACACUUAAGAGUCAGCCCUUUCCAUGUACGCCGAAAAGUUUCAUGGGCAACAAAGGCAUUCUUGGUGGAAAGGUUGCGAAUCCUGUUUACGUCCACCAAGAGGCUUUUCAUUUGGCGCUUCAGCCAGUCAUGAUGCUUAUCCUGUUUCUGAUGAAGGGCAACCAGAAGCUCUCGGUCAUUGAGAACACGAGAUCGCUUCUUAGGCCGUUGUGGAAUGGUGCUUUCGGUGGCUUCAGUGAGGGCACGAUGAGGUGCACGCGUAGUACCAGCCGGGGGAUAAACACGAGUGACUGCUUGAACUCCUUCAAUAUUUUGUGAGAAGCUUUGAUUAUCAGCAUUUUGAAUACUAAGGGGCUCCUUGGCAGGCUCUGGAUAGAUGGCUUCAACUGACAUAUCAACCUCAGGCAGAAAAAUCAGAUGAUUGUGAGCAGAGGGCUGAUAGUUGACAGCUGAGUGUAGCUUGAUUAGACGCAUGAUCCAUGGAGCGUAAAACUUCAAACCAAAGAGAUCAUAGCCUGAUGCAGCAAGUUGGCGGAUAAAGAAGUCUUGUACAUUGAAGCUUUUGCCGUGAAGAAUAUGGAAAACCAAAGUCUUCAUUGCACCUUCAAGCUUUGCAUGAGGAGAAUGUCUUUUGAUGGGCCAGAGAGUUCGCCUUAUAAUGUGAUAGAUAGUACGUGGCAGAUACUCAAGGUCUUCAACAAAGAACUCCUUAGGAUAUUCUGCAUCAGGAGACAAAUGCUUCAUCAUGCUAAGCAUCUGGCUCAUGUUGGGUUCAGGCUUGUGAAAAAUACUUUCCAAAGCAACACUGUGAAGCUGACAACCAGGUUCAUAAAGAUCACCUGGAGUGGGCAGGCCAGUGAGCUCAAUGAUAUCAAAGGCUUUGGCUUCAUGAUGGACAUUGCCUGUCAUCCACUCAAGGACCCAAGUCUUCGGAUCCCUAUUGUAGCCAUGAAUAUGAAGAGUGGCAUAGAAUUGGAGCAGCAAUUCUUCAUUCCAGUUCUCCUUGUUAGUGACGAACUGCAACAAGCCAGACUCUCUGAAGCAAUCCAGCGCUUCUUCCAAACAGGGCAGACCAAUUAUGGCUUCAAUGUCAAGACGCAUAUGUGGGAAAAUGUGACCUAGAUUGUAUAAGAUGCAUGAGUAAUAACUGUGCUGCUGAUAGCUCUAGAACCGAUCAGAUGAUAUUCUUGCCUUAGAGUAGGGGUUCUUGGCGCUAUCAAAGAAGGUAUUGUCCGCUUUGAAACCAUUGACAUUGAAUGAUCCUGGUGCAGAUGCAGUACCUGGAAACCUAGGCAGUCUUGGCAGUGGCUUCUGAACCUGAGGCUUGUGCUCAACGUGGUAGUCAAAUUGAGGACCAGCAGCAGGCGGGGGAACCAGAAGAGGCCAUUUAACAAUGAUAAGCUGCCCAUAGUUGUAUGCUUGCUUGAUAGUAUGUGGCAUUGGUGGCAGAAUAGGAGCAGUGGCAUUAGCAGAGGCGUCAGGUUGCACAUCUGUAGCAGGUGCUUCAUUGGCUUCAUUGGUUUCUGGCAUGGUGUUCAAUGCAGGCUCCACAUUUUCUUCAGCCAUGACCACAUCAUUGGUGUUUCAUUGGCUUCAUUGGUGUUAGUGGUGGCAGCCUCAAGAUUCUCAGUCUCUACUUGAGGAGUUGGAGAGAUGGGUUCAGACAUGUUCACUUCUGGAACAGCUUCUUCAGUGAUGGGGGAGUAGCGACACGCUCUUCUGCUUGUUUUUCUUCGGCUGAUGCAGCCGGAUUGUCUUCAGCAACAUUAGCUUCAGACACGGAGACAUUCACAGUUGGAGUGGCUUCUGGGAACACCUGACGUGCAACAGAUUGGUGGUGCACUUCUCCUUCUGGAACGCUCGGAAGAGUGACUUGGGGCCUUGGUCCUUUGCGAAGCCUGCGUAACGCUGGCGACGCCUGUGGAGAUGGAGUUGGCUGGGCCUCAAAGUCAUCUUCAUCUUGCACUGGUCGGGUGACUUGUUGUUGGGGAGUACUCGGGUGUCUUGUUGUUGUGGGUGAUCAGCCCAUGAUGCAUCCUGAGCAAUUGGCGUCAGAGGAUGACCAAUUCUGAUGAGUUCGUUGUUCGUGAGAACAGGCGAUGAUACCAAGUUGUGCUCGAUCUGAGGAAGAACUACAUCAUCUUCAACAUUGUCAUGGUGACCAAUGUCUUCAGCAGCGGUGGGGUCAACUGCUGGAAUAUCUUUAGCUUCAGGAGCCUCUGUGGAAGCAGGCUCAUGAACUAUCAUCCGUCGUUCUUGAUGUAAAGAGUCAGGACGAGCAACCGAGAUUGGCUCGACAACGAGGGGGUCUGUGGGAGCAGCCCGAUCUUUCUUGGUUUUGCGCUUCUUCUUGGAGGGUGCGACAUCAGAGGCUUCAGGAUUUUUCCUUUUUCUAGCUUCAGCCUCGGCAGCCCUCGUCUUCUUCAGUUCUGAAGCGGUUGACUUGACCUUUGGCUUCGAGCCGGACAUGCUGCUUGGGAAGACAAUGCGAGGCUCUUCCCGCCUAGAUGGUGCAGAUUGGUCAGCCGAUGGCUUCUUCUUCUUGGCAGCCAUUCUGGGGUCGAUGCCAGGACGCCCAAGAGCCUUGCGCUUUUCAGCUUCAUUGUAGGCUUGCACGCACAUGUCAGCCAGACUCUUCAUGCGCUCACGAGAACCUUUAGCUUCUUCACGUUUCUUGAGAAAAUCUUCCUUGAGCUCAUGCAGCAUAACUUUGAAGUUUUUGACAUCUUGCAUGCUGAGCUUUGCCAUGUGCUUCUUGAACUGAGCUUUCUCAUAGUCAAUCUUGUGCUUCGGUUCAACGAUGCGCUGAGCUAGAGCUAGCUCAGAAGCAAUGGUGCCAUUGAAAGAGACGCUGAGGCCAAUUGGAAGUUGCAGAUCUUCAAAGCCGAGAUUGGGGGUGUCAAACCACUCAUCAAUGAAGUUGUGGAUGAUUGCCACGUCAAAGAGAGGCAAAUCAUUGAAGAUUUCUGCUUCCUCCUUGCUCUUUAUCAGUUGCUCAAGAGCGUCAUCUGCAAGAUCUUCAUCACUUGACAGAUCAAUGUGUUCGUCUCGCAGAAUGGCAGCAGGGGUCAAUGCCUGACCAGUAUUCUUGACGUUUUUCUUCUUCAUCUCCGUCUUCUUGGAGAUACGUGAUAGAUCUUCAGACUGCACACUGUCUUCAAGAGGUGCAGUAGCCAGUGGCUUCGCACGUGACGCUUUUAGGGCAGUAGCUGAUUUAGAAGCAUUAGCCUUCUUUUGCUUCUGCGGCUUUGGAGUAGGAGCUGGGGCUUCAUCAGUGUCGGCAUCAUCAUCAGAAUGAUCCACUUUGGCACCUUGAACGGAAAUGUGAGUGAUGAGGCCAUCAAGGUUGUAGAAGGGUCCGAUGAUAUUGGGUUCAGCAUCGCGUGUGCCGUCAGCCCGGCGAGCAGAAGGACCAGGGUUGAAGUCUAGCCCCAAUGACUUCUUAUUUUCCUUGGCCGAUGCCUUUGCGUGCUGGAAGUUGCGCUUGAAGAGAUUAUCGUCACGACACCAGAGCAGUGAUGAUGGGUCGGCAUUGUCAAGCUAUGGUCCACGGACCAUACAGGGAUAGAAACCAUGGGCAAUAGCUUCAACUCUGGUCUUGGGUGGAAGGCUUCGAAAGAGAAUAUCACCCCAAGGACUCUUCAUGGCAUUCUUCUCAGCAUACUCCUGGGUCACGAACUUGUAUUUAAACCAUUGUUCGGCCUAAUAUCUUCGAAUCCAUUGGAUUCGUGUCUUGUGCUGAUUGUAAUCCUCUUCUGGAUCUGUCUUGUACAACUCUGAGAGGUCAUCAGGCAAAUCUCUUGAUGUUUCCCCAUGAUGCUGUCUGCCACCCUUCCUUGCUGAUUUCUCUGUAGCCAUGAACUUCAAACUGAAUGGCUUCAACAGAGUCAAAGGCUUCAAAGGCUUCCGCUUGUUGGUCAGACAGGAACUGGCUUCGGGAGAGUUAAUGUGAUGCUAUAAGAAUUCUGCAAAUGAAUGCAGACUAUGAGAACCAAGGGAUCGAUUCUCCCACGGACAUGUACCUAUGACAGCAUUAGAGAUGUGAGGGAAGGGGAGAGGUCAUAUGCAUUCUCAGAAGAUUUUGAAGAUAAAUCAGUUUGAAGACAUUGACCUCAUGAUGCGAAGACAUUCACUUAUGUGUUUGAAGUUGGUUCCAGAUUUGUACGAAUCCAGGAAUAGGUACAAGUGAGGAAUCUAACUAGAUGUGAAGCUUAAGUGAAUAUACUAGGCAUUGUAUGAGAUGCAGACAAGAUAGAUCUAACAUUGUGUAGGCAGAAACCACUUUUGGUAAACAAGAUGAAUCUUUAGGAUAAAAAAGAUGGUAAAAAGAGGGUUUCAUUUACCACACGAAGAACUGCUAGAUGGGAAGAGUAGGAGACCGAGCAGUUCAAUCCACCAUGCCCUAACUUGGUGACGGAGGACACCUACAGCGGCGGCGGAGAGGACGAUGUCCGCGGUUGGCGUGAAGACGGCGUCGGUGAGGUCGCGGCAGCUAAGCGCUUCGUCGCCGGCGUCGUCGAAAGCUAGCGGUGGCGCUAGGGUUUUGAUGAGGUGGAGAGGUGGAAGAAGGUUUUCUUGACUGCAAGGGGACAUGUAUUUAUAAGGGAGAGCGCGGCACAAUGCAAUUACGCAGGUGCCCCUGGCGGUUCACAUCUGAGGAACACGUGGCAAGCAUGCAACAUACUUGGAGUUAUCCCACGUUCCCACGCCCGCCUGAACUGUCGGAUGGUCGUUCCGGCUUCUCCGGAUUUCAGGCAAUAAGGAUGGAGCAUUUAAAACAGACUUAAUGUUUGUCUCUGUAUCUUCUACUGACAAGGACGCAGAGAAGACAUUCGACAGUUUCAACAGAAUGCAUAUGAUUCUGAUAGAUAGAGUAUGAGGUAGAAAGCAUAGAGAGAUUAGGGUCCGGUCACAUUCACUUAGUUCAAAAGAUUCAACAGAGAAGACAUAGCUAUAACUGAAUGCUGUAGAGGACAGAACACUAGUAUGUAUAUAUCAGAAAGUAACACAGUGAAGAUAAUCAUGAAGAUAAGUUGAAAUUGAAGACAAAUAGCAAAAGUAACGCCUUGAGAAAAACACUUCAAAUAGAAGAAUUUGGUGGUGGCAUUACCCACCGUAUAGGAAGUAUUAGACCCAGACACGGCGCACAAUUAUCGUGGCGCUCCGAAGUCAAAUUCCACGUUAAUGUAUUCACACUCAAAAUGUAAGUCUUCAUUGAUUGAAAUAUACUUUACUUCAUGUGUUGCACUUCUAAGUCAUCAACAUGCAUAAGUGUUAGGAUGUGUGCCUGAUCACAGGACAUUUGAGGAUUCCAAGAUAUUUAGCUCACACCGUAACUUGCAAAACCUUUUCUCAUCCAAGGGCUUUGUGAAGAUAUCUGCCAGUUGCUCUUCAGUGUUGACGUGAAUGAUAUAAAUAUAUUCCUUCAUGACAUGGUCUCUGAGAAAGUGAUGACGAAUUUCAAUGUGCCUUGUCUUCGAGUGCUGAGCUGGGUUGUUGGCAAUCUUGAUGGCGCUUUCGUUGUCACAGAAGAGUGGUACUUGUUUCAGAUGGAUGCCAUAGUCCUUGAGAGUUUGCUUCAUCCAUAGAAGCUGAGCGCAGCAAGAUCCAGCAGCAAUGUAUUUAGAUUCAGUAGUGGAGAGUGAUACACAGUUCUGCUUCUUUGAAGACCAACAGACAAGUGAUCGUCCCAGAAAAUGACAUGUGCCUGAUGUAGAUUUGCGAUCCACCUUGUCACCAGCAUAAUCAGCAUCCAAGAAUCCAACCAUAUCAAAUUCUGAGCCCUUUGUAUACCAUAAUCCUAAUGUUGGGGUGUAAGCCAAAUAUCGAAGAAUUCGCUUCACAGCUAAGUGAUGCGAUUCCUUUGGUGCCGCUUGGAAUCGAGCACACAUGCAAACACUAAGCAUAAUACCUGGCCUAGAUGAACAUAGGUAAAGUAAAGAACCAAUCAUGGAGCGGUAUACCUUUUGAUCAAACUCUUUACCAUUGUUGUCGGGACCCAGAUGGUGUUUGGCUGGCAUUGGCGUCGUGUAACCUUUGCAAUCUUGCAUUCCGAACUUCUUCAGACAAUCUUUGAGGUAUUUUUCUUGAGAUAUGAAGAUGCCAUUCCUUUGCUGACGAAUUUGAAGACCAAGGAAGAACUUCAGCUCACCCAUCAUGGACAUCUGAUAUUGUUCUUGCAUCAUGUGUCCAAACUCAUCACUGUAUUUCUGAUUGGUGCAGCCAAAGAUAAUAUCGUCCACAUAGAUUUGGCACACAAACAGUUCACCAUCAUAUGUCUUUGUGAAGAGCGUGGGAUCGAGGGAUCCAGGUUUGAAGCCUUUGCUCUUCAGGAAGUCUUUGAUUGUAUCAUACCAAGCGCGAGGAGCUUGUUUGAGGCCAUACAGUGCUUUGUUUAGCUUGUACACCAUAUCAGGAUGUUUUGGAUCUUCAAAGCCAGGAGGUUGUGCGACAUAUACUUCUUCUUCAAUCUUGCCGUUGAGAAAUGCACUCUUCACAUCCAUUUGAUAUAGCAAGAUGUUGUGAUGAUUUGCAUAGGCUAGCAGUAUUCGAAUAGCUUCAAGCCUAGCCACAUGAGAAAAUGUUUCAUUGAAGUCAAUCCCUUCAACUUGAGUAUAUCCUUGAGCGACGGGACGUGCUUUGUUUCUGACGACUUGACCAUGCUCAUCUUGCUUGUUUCGAUAUAUCCAUUUUGUGCCUAUUAUGUUGUGCUUGCGAGGGUCAGGACGCUUGACAAGUUCCCAAAUAUUGUUCAGCUUGAACUGUUGAAGCUCUUCUUGCAUAGCUUGAAUCCAUUCAGGUUCCAUAAAGGCUUCAGCAACUUUCUUGGGUUCUGAUAUUGAUACAAAGGCAAAAUGCCCACAGAAAUUUGCUAACGGUGUUGCCCUUGAACGAGUGAGUGGACCAGGUGCAUUUAUGCUAUCAAUUAUCUUCUCAAUCUGUACUUCGUUUGCAACACGAGGAUGAACUGGACGAAGAUUUUGCUCUUGCUGAUCAUUAUCAACAUUGGAAGGAUUGUCUUCAGGCUAAGCAUUGUCUUCAGUUUGAUUAGGUGCAGAAAUGAUAAGUUCGUCUUCAGGAUGUGCUUCAGAAGGUAUGAUUUCACCAAUUCCCAUUAGCUUGACAGACUCACUGGGUGGAGCUUCGUCUAGCAUAUUUGGCAGGAUCUCUCUUUGUGAUCCAUUGGUUUCAUUGAACCGUACGUCCACAGUUUCGACAACUUUAUAGAGAUAGAGAUUAAAGACUCUGUAAGAGUGCGAGUCCUUUCCGUAACCGAGCAUGAAACCUUCGUGAGCUUUAGGUGCAAAUUUUUAUUUUUGAUGUGGAUCCUUGAUCCAGCACCUAGCUCCAAAUACUCUGAAGUAACUGACAUUUGGCUUCUUGCCUGUUAGGAGUUCAAAGGAUGUUUUCUUCAGAAGCUUAUGAAGAUAAACACGGUUGAUGACAUGACAUGCUAUAUCAAUAGCUUCAGGCCAGAACUUUCUUGGUGUCUUGUACUCAUCGAGCAUGGUUCGAGCCAUCUCAAUGAGAGUUCUGUUCUUGCGCUCUACGAUGCCAUUAUGCUGAGGUGUGUAUGGAGCUGAGAACUCAUGAGUGAUUUGUUGGGUCACGUAGUAAUUUCAAAAUUUUCCUACGCUCACGCAAGAUCAUGGUGAUGCAUAGCAACGAGAGGGGAGAGUAUGAUCUACGUACCCUUGUAGAUCGACAACGUAAGCGUUUGGUUGAUGUAGUCGUACGUCUUCAUGGCCCGACCGAUCAAGCACCGAAACUACGGUACCUCCGAGUUCUAGCACACGUUCAGCUCGAUGACGAUCCCCGGACUUCGAUCCAGCAAAGUGUCGGGGAAGAGUUCCGUCAGCACGACGGCGUGGUGACGAUCUUGAUGUACUACUGCAGCAGGGCUUCGCCUAAGCACCGCUACAAUAUUAUCGAGGACUAUGGUGGAAGGGGGCACCGCACACGGCUAAGAAUAUGAUCACCUGGAUCAACUUGUGUCUCUUUGGGGUGCCCCUGCCUCCGUAUAUAAAGGCUCAAGGGGGGUGCGGCCGGCCUAGGAGAGGUGCGCCAGGAGGAGUCCUACUCCCUGGGAGUAAGAUCCCCCCCCCCAAUCCUAGUUGGAAUAGGAUUCGCGGAGGGGGAAAAGAGAGAGGGGGGCAGGCCCCCUCUCCUUGUCCUAUUCGGACCAAGGGAGGGGAGGGGCGCGCGGCCCAUCUUGGGCUGCUCCUUCUCUUUUCCACUAAGGCCCACUUAGGCCCAUAUAGCUCCUGGGGGGUUCCGGUAACCUCCCGGUACUCCGGUAAAAUCCCGAUUUCACCCGGAACACUUCCGAUAUCCAAACAUAGGCUUCCAAUAUAUCAAUCUUUAUGUCUCGACCAUUUUGAGAUUCCUUGUCAUGUCCGUGAUCACAUCCGGGACUCCAAACAACCUUCGGUACAUCAAAACUCAUAAACUCAUAAUAUAACUGUCAUCGAAACCUUAAGCGUGCGGACCCUACGGGUUCGAGAACAAUGUAGACAUGACCGAGACACGUCUCCGGUCAAUAACCAAUAGCAGGACCUGGAUGCCCAUAUUGGCUCCUACAUAUUCUACGAAGAUCUUUAUCGGUCAGACCGCAUAACAACAUACGUUGUUCCCUUUGUCAUCGGUAUAUUACUUGCCCGAGAUUCGAUCGUCGGUAUCUCAAUACCUAGUUCAAUCUCGUUACCGGCAAGUCUCUUUACUCGUUCCAUAAUACAUCAUCUCACAACUAACUCAUUAGUUGCAAUGCUUGCAAGGCUUAUGUGAUGUGCAUUACCGAGAGGGCCCAGAGAUACCUCUCCGACAAUCGGAGUGACAAAUCCUAAUCUCGAAAUACGCCAACCCAACAUGUACCUUUGGAGACACCUGUAGAGCACCUUUAUAAUCAUCCAGUUACGUUGUGACGUUUGGUAGCACACAAAGUGUUCCUCUGGUAAACGGGAGUUGCAUAAUCUCAUAGUCAUAGGAACAUGUAUAAGUCAUGAAGAAAGCAAUAGCAACAUACUAAACGAUCGGGUGCUAAGCUAAUGGAAUGGGCCAUGUCAAUCAGAUCAUUCACCUAAUGAUGUGAUCCCGUUAAUCAAAUAACAACUCUUUGUCCAUGGUUAGGAAACAUAACCAUCUUUGAUUAACGAGCUAGUCAAGUAGAGGCAUACUAGUGACACUCUGUUUCUCUAUGUAUUCACACAUGUAUUAUGUUUCCGGUUAAUACAAUUCUAGCAUGAAUAAUAAACAUUUAUCAUGAUAUAAGGAAAUAAAUAAUAACUUUAUUAUUGCCUCUAGGGCAUAUUUCCUUCAGUCUCCCACUUGCACUAGAGUCAAUAAUCUAGAUCACAUCGCCAUGUGAUUUAACAUCAAUAGUUCACAUCUUUAUGUGAUUGGUUCACAUCUCCAUGUGACUAACACCCAAAGGGUUUACUAGAUUCAAUAAUCUAGUUCACAUCGCUAUGUGAUUAAGACCCAAAAAGUGAUCAUGUUUUGCUUGUGAGAGAAGUUUAGUCAACGGGUCUGCCACAUUCAGAUCCGCAUGUAUUUUGCAAAUUUCUAUGUCAACAAUGCUCUGCAUGGAGCUACUCUAGCUAAUUGCUCCCACUUUCAAUAUGUAUCCAGAUUGAGACUUAGAGUCAUCUGGAUCAGUGUCAAAACUUGUAUCGACGUAACCCUUUACGACGAACCUUUUGUCACCUCCGUAAUCGAGAAACAUAUCCUUAUUCCAGUAAGGAUAAUUUUGACCGAUGUCCAUUGAUCUACUCCUAGAUCACUAUUGUACUCCCUCUCUUAACACAGUGUAUGGUAUACAAUAGAUCUGGUACACAGCAUGGCAUACUUUAUAGAACCUAUGACUGAGGCAUAGGGAAUGACUUUCAUUCUCUUUCUAUCUUCUGUCGUGGUAGGGCUUUGAGUCUUACUCAACUUCACACCUUGUAACACAGGCAAGAAACUUUUUCUUUGACUGUUCCAUUUUGAACUACUUCAAAAUCUUGUCAAGGUAUGUACUCAUUGAAAAAAUUAUCAAGCGUCUUGAUCUAUCUCUAUAGAUCUUGAUACUCAAUAUGUAAGCAGCUUCACCGAGGUCUUUCUUUGAAAAACUCCUUUCAAACAUUCCUUUAUGCUUUGCAGAAUAAUUCUACAUUAUCUCCGAUCAACAAUAUGUCUUUCACAUAUACUUUAUCAGAAAUGUUGUAGUGCUCCCACUCACUUUCUUGUAAAUACAAGCUUCACCGCAAGUCUGUAUAAAACUAUAUGCUUUGAUCAACUUAUCAAAGCGUAUAUUCCAACUCCGAGAUGUUUGCACCAGUCCAUAGAUGGAUCGCUGGAGCUUGCACAUUUUGUUAGCAACUUUAAGAUUGACAAAACCUUCUGGUUGUAUCAUAUACAACUCUUCUUUAAUAAAUCCAUUAAGGAAUGCAGUUUUGUUUAUCCAUUUGCCGGAUUUCAUAAAAUGCGGCAAUUGCUAACAUGAUUCGGACAGACUUAAGCAUAGAUACGAGUCAUCGUAGUCAACACCUUGAACUUGUCGAAAACCUUUUUGCGACAAUUCUAGCUUUGUAGAUAGUAACACUACUAUCAGCGUCCGUCUUUCUCUUGAAGAUCCAUUUAUUUUCUAUGGCUUGCCGAUCAUCGGGCAAAUCCAUCAAAGUCCAUACUUUGUUCUCAUACAUGGAUCAUAUCUCAGAUUUCAUGGCCUCAAACCAUUUCGCGGAAUCUGGGCUCAUCAUCGCUUCCUCAUAGUUCGCAAGUUCGUCAUGGUCAAGUAACAUGACCUCCAGAAUAGGAUUACCGUACCACUCUGGUGCGGAUCUCACUCUGGUUUACCUACGAGAUUCGAUAGUAACUUGAUCUGAAGUUACAUGAUCAUCAUCAUUAGCUUCCUCACUAAUUGGUGUAGUAGUCACAGGAACAGAUUUCUGUGAUGAACUACUUUCCAAUAAGGGAGCAGGUACAGUUACCUCAUCAAGUUCUCUACUUUCCUCCCACUCACUUCUUUCGAGAGAAACUCCUUCUCUAGAAAGGAUCCAUUCUUAGCAACGAAUGUCUUGCCUUCGGAUCUGUGAUAGAAGGUGUACCCAACUGUCUCCUUUGGGUAUCCUAUGAAGACAUAUUUCUCCGAUUUGAGUUUGAGCUUAUCGAGAUGAAACUUUUUCACAUAAGCAUCGCAACUCCAAACUUUAAGAAACGAUAGCUUAGGUUUCUUGCCAAACCAUAGUUCACACGGUGUCGUCUCAAUGGAUUUAGAUGGUGCCCUAUUUAACGUGAAUGCAGCUACCUCUAAUGCAUAACCCCAAAACGAUAGUGGUAGAUCGGUAAGAGACAUCAUAGAUCGCACCAUAUCUAAUAAAGUACGAUUAUGACAUUCGGACACACCAUUAUGCUGUGGUGUUCCAGGUGGCAUGAGUUUGUGAAACUAUUCCACAUUGUUUUAAUUGAAGACCAAACUCGUAACUCAAAUAUUUUACUUCUGCGAUCAUAUCGUAGAAACUUUCAUUUUUGUUACGAUGAUUCUCCACUUCACUCCGAAAUUCUUUGAACUUUUCAAAUGUUUCAGACCUUUGUUUCAUCAAGUAGAUAUACUCAUAUCUGCUCAAAUCAUCUGUGAAGAUCAGAAAAUAAUGAUACCUAUCACGAGCCUCAAUAUUCAUCGGACCACAUACAUCAGUAUGUAUGAUUUCCAACAAAUCUGUUGCUCGCUCCAUUGUUCCGAAGAACAGAGUCUUAGUCAUCUUGCCCAUGAGGCAUGGUUCGCAAGCAUCAACUGAUUCAUAAUCAAGUGAUUCCAAAAGCCCAUCAGCAUGGAGUUUCUUCAUGCGCUUUACACCAAUAUGACCUAAACGGCAGUGCUACAAAUAAGUUGCACUAUCAUUAUUAACUUUGCAUCUUUUGGUUUCAAUAUUAUGAUUAGGUGUAUCACUACGAUCGAGAUCCAACGAACUAUUUUCAUUGGGUGUGUAACCAUAUAAGGUUUUAUUCAUGUAAACAGAACAACAAUUUAUUCUCUUACUUAAAUGAAUAACCGUAAAACAUGAUCAAAUCAUAUUCAUGCUCAACGUAAACACCAAAUAACACUUAUUUAGGUUCAACACUAAUCCCGAAUUUAUAGGGAGUGUGCGAUGAUGAUCAUAUCAAUCUUGGAACCACUUCCAACACACAUCGUCACUUCACCCUUAACUAGUCUCUGUUUAUUCUGCAACUCCCGUUUCGAGUUACUAAUCUUAGCAACUGAACUAGUAUCAAAUACUGAGGGGUUGCUAUAAACACUAGUAAAAUACACAUCAAUAACAUGUAUAUCAAAUAUACUUAUGUUCACUUUGCCAUCCUUCUUAUCUGCCAAUCACUUGGGGUAGUUCCGCUUCCAGUGACCAAUCCCUUUGCAGUAGAAGCACUUAGUCUCAGGCUUAGGAUCAGACUUGGGCUUCUUCACUUGAGCAGCAACUUGCUUGCUGUUCUUUUUGAAGUUCCCCUUCUUCCCUCUGCCCUUUUCUUGAAACUAGUGGUCUUGUCUACCAUCAACACUUGAUGUUUUUCUCGAUUUCUACCUUCAUCAAUUUCCGCAUUACGAAGAGCUUGGGAAUCGUUUCUGUUAUCCCUUGCAUAUCAUAGUUCAUCACGAAGUUCUACUAACUUGGUGAUGGUGACUAGAGAAUUCUGUCAAUCACUAUCUUAUCUGGAAGAUUAACUCCCACUUGAUUCAAGCGAUUGUAGUACUCAGAAAAUCUGGGCACAUGCUCACUAGUUGAGCGAUUCUCCUCCAUCUUUUAGCUAUAGAACUUGUUGGAGACUUCAUAUUUCUCAACUCGGGUAUUUGCUUGAAAUAUUAACUUCAACUCCUGGAACAUCUCAUAUGGUCCAUGACGUUCAAAACGUCUUUGAAGUCCCGACUCUAAGCCAUUAAGCAUGGUGCACUAAACUAUCAAGUAGUCAUCAUAUUGAGCUAGCCAAACGUUCAUAAUGUCUGCAUCUGCUCCUGCAAUAGGUCAGUCACCUAGCGGUGCAUCAAGGACGUAAUUCUUCUGUGCAGCAAUGAGGAUAAACCUCAGAUCACGGAUCCAAUCCGCAUCUUUGCUACUAACAUCUUUCAACACAAUUUUCUCUAGGAACAUAUCAAAAUAAACACAGGGAAGCAACAACGCGAGCUAUUGAUCUACAACAUGAUUUGCAAAAUACUACCAGGACUAAGUUCAUGAUAAAUUUAAGUUCAAUUUAAUCAUAUUACUUAAGAACUCCCACUUAGAUAGACAUCCCUCUAAUCCUCUAAGUGAUCACGUGAUCCAAAUCAACUAAACCAUGUCCGAUCAUCACAUGAGAUGAAGUAGUUUCAUUGGUGAACAUCACUAUGUUGAUCAUAUCUACUAUAUGAUUCAUUCUCGACCUUUCGGUCUCCGUGUUCCGAGGCCAUAUCUGUAUAUGCUUGGCUCGUCAAGUAUAACCUGAGUAUUCCGCGUGUGCAACUGUUUUGCACCCGUUGUAUUUGAACGUAGAGCCUAUCACACCCGAUCAUCACGUGGUGUCUCAGCAUGAAGAACUUUCGCAAUGGUGCAUACUCAGGGAGAACACUUCUUGAUAAUUAGUGAGAGAUCAUCUUAAAAUGCUACCGUCAAACUAAGAAAAAUAAGAUGUAUAAAAGAUAAACAUCAUAUGCAAUCAAAAUAUGUGACAUGAUAUGGCCAUCAUCAUCUUGCGCCUUUGAUCUCCAUCUCCAAAGUACUGUCAUGAUCUCUAUCGUCACCGGCAUGACACCAUGAUCUCCAUCAUCUUGAUCUAUAUCAAUGUGUCGUCACACGGUCGUCUCGCCAACUAUUGCUCUUGCAACUAUUGCUAUCGCAUAGCGAUAAAGUAAAGCAAUUAUUUGGCGCUUGCAUCUUAUGCAAUAAAGAGACAACCAUAAGGCUUUUGCCAGUUGCCGAUAACUUUAACAAAACAUGAUCAUCUUAUACAACAACUUAUAUCUCAUCACGUUUUGACCAUAUCACAUCACAACAUGCCCUGCAAAAACAAGUUAGACGUCGUCUACUUUGUUGUUGCAAGUUUUACGUGGCUGCUACGGGCUUAAGCAAGAACCAAUCUUACCUACGCAUCAAAACCACAACGAUAGUUUGUCAAGUUGGUGUUGUUUUAACCUUCGCAAGGACCGGGCGUAGCCACACUCGGUUCAACUAAAGUUGAAGAAACUGACACCCGCCAGCCACCUGUGUGCAAAGCACGUCGGUAGAACCAGUCUCGCGUAAGCGUACGCGUAAUGUUGGUCCGGGCCGCUUCAUCCAACAAUACCGCCCACAACUCACUUAUAUGACAUGCUGGUAAGCAGUAUGACUUAUAUCGCCCACAACUCACUUGUGUUCUACUCGUGCAUAUAACAUCAAACCAUAAAAACCUAGGCUCGGAUGCCACUGUUGGGUCACGUAGUAAUUUCAAAAUUUUCCUACGCUCACGCAAGAUCAUGGUGAUGCAUAGCAACGAGAGGGGAGAGUAUGAUCUACGUACCCUUGUAGAUCGACAACGGAAGCGUUUGGUUGAUGUAGUCGUACGUCUUCACGGCCCGACCGAUCAAGAACGGAAACUAUGGUACCUCCGAGUUCUAGCACACGUUCAGCUCGAUGACGAUCCCCGGACUCCGAUCCAGCAAAGUGUCGGGGAAGAGUUCCGUCAGCACGACGGCGUGGUGACGAUCUUGAUGUACUACUGCAGCAGGGCUUCUCCUAAGCACCGCUACAAUAUUAUCGAGGACUAUGGUGGAAGGGGGCACCGCACACGGCUAAGAAUAUGAUCACCUAGAUCAAUUUGUGUCUCUCUGGGGUGCCCCUGCCUCCGUAUAUAAAGGCUCAAGGGGGGGUGCGGCCGGCCUAGGAGAGGCGCGCCAGGAGGAGUCCUACUCUCUCUGGGAGUAGGAUUCCCACCCCCCCCCCCCCAAUCCUAGUUGGAAUAGGAUUCGUGGAGGGGGAAAAGAGAGAGGGGGGCCGGGCCCCUCUCCUUGUCCUAUUCGGACCAAGGGAGGGGAGGGGCGCGCGGCCCAUCUUGGGCUGCUCCUUCUCUUUUCCACUAAGGCCCACUUAGGCCCAUAUAGCUCCCGGGGGGUUCCGGUAACCUCCCGGUACUCCGGUAAAAUCCGGAUUUCACCCGGAACACUUCCGAUAUCCAAACAUAGGCUUCCAAUAUAUCAACCUUUAUGUCUCGACCAUUUCGAGAUUCCUCGUCACGUCCGUGAUCACAUCCGGGACUCCGAACAACCUUCGGUACAUCAAAACUCAUAAACUCAUAAUAUAACUGUCAUCGAAACCUUAAGCGUGCGGACCCUACGGGUUCGAGAACAAUGUAGACAUGACCGAGACACGUCUCCGGUCAAUAACCAAUAGCGGGACCUGGAUGCCCAUAUUGGCUCCUACAUAUUCUACGAAGAUCUUUAUCGGUCAGACCGCAUAACAACAUACGUUGUUCCCUUUGUCAUCAGUAUGUUACUUGCCCGAGAUUCGAUCGUCGGUAUCUCAAUACCUAGUUCAAUCUUGUUACCGGCAAGUCUCUUUACUCGUUCCGCAAUACAUCAUCUCACAACUAACUCAUUAGUUGCAAUGCUUACAAGGCUUAUGUGAUGUGCAUUACCGAGAGGGCUCAGAGAUACCUCUCCGACAAUCGGAGUGACAAAUCCUAAUCUCGAAAUACGCCAACCCAACAUGUACCUUUGGAGACACCUGUAGAGAACCUUUAUAAUCACCCAGUUAUGUUGUGACGUUUGGUAGCACACAAAGUGUUCCUCCGGUAAACGGGAGUUGCAUAAUCUCAUAGUCAUAGGAACAUGUAUAAGUCAUGAAGAAAGCAAUAGCAACAUACUAAACGAUCGGGUGCUAAGCUAAUGGAAUGGGUCAUGUCAAUCAGAUCAUUCACCUAACGAUGUGAUCCCGUUAAUCAAAUAACAACUCUUUGUCCAUGGUUAGGAAACAUAACCAUCUUUGAUUGACGAGCUAGUCAAGUAGAGGCAUACUAGUGACACUCUGUUUGUCUAUGUAUUCACACAUGUAUUAUGUUUCCAGUUAAUACAAUUCUAGCAUGAAUAAUAAACAUUUAUCAUGAUAUAAGGAAAUAAAUAAUAACUUUAUUAUUGCCUCUAGGGCAUUAUUCCUUCAUGAUUCCCAUUGUAUCCAGAUAAAGAUCAAGUCCAGUGUUCUUGAACUCAGUGCCGUUGUCACUUCUGAUAUGCUUGAUCUUGACGCCAUAAUUGUUCAUGGCAUGGUUGGCGAAGCGUCUGAAGACAUCUUGCACUUCGGUCUUGUAGAGAAUUAUGUGCACCCACAUAUAUCUUGAGUAAUCAUCAAUAAUGACGAAGCCAUAAAGACAAGCAGUUGUUGUGAGGGUAGAGUAGUGAGUAGGGCCAAAUAAAUCCAUGUGUAGCAGCUCGAAGGGUUGAGAUGUCGUCAUGAUUGUCUUCGAGGGAUACUUUGCGCUAGUCAUCUUUCCAGCUUCGCAGGCACCGCACAAAUGAUCCUUCUUGAACUUGACGCCCUCGAUGCCUAUGACAUGCUUCUUCUUGGCGAGAGUGUGUAAGUUCCUCAUGCCAGCAUGCCCUAGCCUCCGAUGCCAGAACCAGCACUCUGAAGCUUUUGCAAGAAGACAUACGGCAAGCUGUGGACCUGCUGAGAAAUCUACCAUGUAUAGAUCAUCUUUCCGGUACCCUUCAAAGACUAGAGAUUUGUCAGAUUCCAUAAGUACAAGGCAACGAUAUUUUCCAAAUAUCACAAUCAUGUUCAAGUCACAAAGCAUUGAGACAGACAUUAAGUUGAAACCAAGGGAUUCAACAAGCAUCACUUUAUCCAUGUGCUAAUCCUUUGAGAUUGCAACUCUACCUAGACCCAAUACCUUGCUUUUACCAGUGUCAGCAAAUGUGAUGUGACUCUUGUCAGAUGGACGUAAAGUUGAGUCCAUAAGAAGACUUCAAUCACCAGUCAUAUGAUUAGUGCAUCCGUUGUCCAUAAUCCAUUCUGAAGCAUGAGGUGUCAUACCCUACAGUACAGUCAGGAGGAUAGGCCUCACCAAGAGUUGUGUGAAGCAUAAACAUUUGACGGGCAAGAGGAUUAUUGAAGCUCAGAUCAAGAUUAGGACUGAUAGGAUGAAUGGCAAACGAUUCAGGAACAAAAUACAUAGUGAGACCAUUUGGGCAUUUGAUCUUGCGCCCUACAAGAUGUUUUAGGUCCCCAGCAAUAGCAUCAGACGCCUUUGAUUUUUGGCUGGAGACCUUUUUCUACAAAAGAAAGUUAAUUCUUCUUAACCACCCACAUCUUUAGGGGUGGCUUAGAAGCAACGAGUCUAAGUGCAGCAUCUGAGAACUUCGGCUUUGGAGCCCUAGCAAAUAGCCUUGCAGGAGAUGAAUGAUACUCAUAUGAAUAAGAAAAGUUCUUAGUUCUAUGAACAUAGCGGUUUGAAGACACGCGCUCAUAUUCAUAAGUCUGAGUAUGGUUUCCCUGCAAAACAUUGGCGUUAGGGUGACUCAGGUGAGUCCUCUAUCUAUAUGAAGCCUUUGGACCAUAUGAAGCCUUAGGUCUGGGGUUUGUCUUCUUCCCGGGUGGUGUCAUGAUGACAUUCACUGGAAGAUUCUCAAGACAGCUUUUGGGAACCCAGAUCUUCUUCAUAGGUGGCCCAUUCCUGCAGUUAGUACCGAUAUACCUGGCAAACACUUCACCAUUCUGAUUCUUAAACAUUUUAUAGUUUGCAUCAAAUGAUUCAUCAAUGAUAAUAGGGUUAGCACAGGUAAAGCCAGAUAAGGUGGAUGGGUCCACUGAAGGUCCCUUUGCAGCAACCCAUGUGGUUUUGGGGUACUGCUCAGGCUUCCAGUAGGAACCAUCAACAUUCAUUUUCCUCUCGAACCCAACACCCUCUUUCCUAGGGUUUCAGUUCAGAAUCUGCUUUUUGAGGACAUCACACAGUGUCUGAUGCCCUUUCAGACUUUUGUACAUCCCUGUUUCAAGCAAUGUCUUCAACCUAGCAUUUUCAUCAGCAAUAGUAGUGGUAUCCUCAGCAGAGGGGUUAGUUACCACAUCAGUAGUUGAAGACAAUGCAACAGUAGCAGCAGUAGAACAUUCAGCAACAGAGGUAGCGUUGUCACGCUCAAGGCAUUUUAGACAUGGUGGUUCAAAUCCAUCCUGAGCGGGACUGGUCUGUUGAGCGUGAAGUGACUCAUUCUCUUUUUGAAGAUCUUCAUAAGCUGCUCUCAAUUUCUCAAGCUCUUGCUUCCUUUGAAGAUAAUCAUAGGAGAGCUUUUCAUGAGUGGUUGAGAGCGUUUCAUGACGACUUUCAAGUUCUUGGUACUUAGUAUGAAGAUUUUUAAUGUCUUCCACUAAGGACUGUGAACGGGUCAUUUCCGCGUCCAACAGGUCAUCACUUUUGUCUAACAAUUUUUGAGUAUGUUCCAUAGCUUUUUGUUGUUCAGUUGCAAUUUUAGCAAGUGUUUUGUAGCUGGGUUUGGAUUCACAAUCAGAGUCAUCUUCACUUGAUGUUUGAAAGUAAGCUUCACGUGAUUUUACCUUGGCACCAUGUGCCAUGAAGCAGUAGGUGGGAGCAGGGUCAUCCUUGUCAUUAGCUUCAGCGUUGGUGUGGAAGUCAUUGUCUUCGGUGUUGAAGAUGGACUUGGCAACGUAGGCUGUGGCUAGAGCAAGACUUGCAACGCCAGGGUCGGACUCCUCCUAAGACUCGACCUCCGCCUCCUCAGAAGCAGACUCCUCCUCUAAAUCCAUCUCCUUGCCAACAAAAGCACGAGCCUUGCCAGAUGAGCAAUUCUUAUGAGAUGAAGACUUGGAUGAGGACUUGGAAGAAGACUUUGAAGAUUUCUUCUUCUUCUUGUCAUCAGAAUCAUAUUCCUUGCUCUUCUUCUUCUUCUUCUCAUUGUCCCACUAUGGACACUCAGAGUGUCCAGGUUUCUUGCACUUGUGACAUGUUCUCUUCUUGUAGUCAUGAGUGGAAGUUCUAUCAUUUCUUGAGCUGGAUCGUGAAGACUUUCUGAAGCCCUUCUUUUUAGUGAACUUCUGGAACUUCUUCACAAGCAUAGCAAGUUCCUUUCCAAUGUCUUCAGGAUUAUCAGAACUGCAGUGAGAUUCUUCUUCAGAUGAGGAAACAGCUUUUGACUUCAAAGCGCGAGUUCGGCCAUAGUUGGGACCAUAUAUAUCUCUUUUCUCAGAUAGCUGGAACUCAUGUGUGUUGAGCCUCUCAAGUAUAUCAGACGGAUCGAGUGUAUUGAAGUCAGGACGUUCUUGUAUCAUGAGGGCAAGGGUGUCAACAGAGCUGUCAAGUGAUCUCAGUUGUGUCUUGACGAUUUCAUGCUUGGUAAUCUCAGUGGCGCCGAGAGCACGAAGCUCAUUUGUGAUGUCAGUGAGGCGAUCAAACGUGAGCUGUAUAUUUUCAUUGUCGUUUCUCUUGAAGCGGUCGAAGAGGUUGCGAAGAACACUGGUCAUUUGAUCUCUCUGGGUUGAGACGCCUUCGUUGACCUUGGACAGCCAGUCCCAGACUAGCUUCGACAUUUCCAGAGCACUCACGCGGCCAUACUGUCCUUUGGUCAGAUGACCACGGAUGAUGUUCUUGGUAGUAGAAUCCAGUUGAACGAACUUCUUGACAUCAGCGGGAGUGACAUCUUCACCAGUCUUGGGAACACCAUUCUUGACGACAUACCAGAGGUCGACAUCAAUGGCUUCAAGAUGCAUGCGCAUCUUAUUAUUCCAGUAGGGAUAUUCAGUUCCAUCGAAGACGGGCAAGCAGCGGAGACUUUGAUUAUCCCUACAGUCGACAUAGCUAAAACUCCAGGUGGUUAAACCGAAUCACACAGAACAAGGGAGUACCUUGCUCUAAUACCAAUUGAAAGUGCUAGUUAUCAACUAGAGGGAGGGGUGAAUAGGCAAUUUUUAUGAAAGUCUUCAAAACAUGGAAGUUUCGAAGACAAACAAUAGAAAUGACCCUAUUAAUAUGCAGCGGAAGAUAAACUACACUAAGGAAUCCAUAGUCAUGUAUGAAAUAAGGUGAGAGUAUGAAGACUAAUAGCAGCUAGGUAGUACGGAUCAGGAUGGAAGAUCGUAUGAACCCAAACAAUGAUAGGAGUCAAACAGUGAAGAAAAAUAGGUAACGCAAACAGGCAAUGACUUCACGAAGACAAAUUCUAGGUAAAGAGAGGGAGAGGAUAGAACCAGUCACUUGUUGAACACCCAGUCCUUGCCCAAUUACUCUGGUAAGUCUUCAAGGUAGACUUCCAAACCUUCACAGACUUUGUUCACCGGCGAUCCACAACAACUCUUGGAUGCUCAGAACGCGACGCCUAACCGGCUGGAGGAUUCACAGUCCUCAAGUGUAAUAAGUCUUCAGGUCACUCAGACAGAAAGACUUCAGUGAUGACUGACACUCUUUGGCUCUGGGUGUUUGGGCUUUGUUCUCGCAAGGAUUUCUGUCUCUCAAAAGCUUCAAGGUGGGUUGCUCUCAAAAUGACAGAAGAUGUGCACUUACUCUGAGCAGCCACCAAUUUAUGAUGUAGGGGUGGGCUAUUUAUAGCCACUAGGCAACCCGACCUGAUUUGUCCAAAAUGACCCUGGGUCACUAACGAACUGACACGUGUUCCAACGGUCAGAUUUCAAACACACACGGCAACUUUACUUGAGCUGCAAGCAAAGAUGACUCAUCCAGCUCUGGAUAAGAUUUGCCCUCAUUGUCUUCGCUCGAAGACAUAGGAUUUGGGUUGAGUAUCACUUCAGUCACUCUGACUUUGUUCACUUGGACCCCACUUAACAGUACGGUGGUUCCUAUGACUCAACAAAGAAGAAAAGGAAACAAUGAAACGACUAAGUCUUCGUGCUCCACAGUCUUCACGCGAUGUCUUCUCUUGUCAUAGUCUUCAAUAUGAAUAUCUUCACAUACCACCAUUGUCGUCAAUGUCUUCAUACAUUUUUAGGGGUCAUCUCCGGUAGGUAAACCGAAUCAAGGAGGGACCAAUACCUGUGCUAUCCUGCAAUUCUCACAAACACAUUAGUCCCUCAAUCAGGUUUGUCGUCAAUACUCCAAAACCAACUAGGGGUGGCACUAGAUGCACUUACAAAGGGGCUCUGUGGGAGCAGCCCGAUCUUUCUUCUUUGUCUUUCUCUUAUUGGUCGGUGGAGCAUUGUCAGUGGUGUUCUUGGACUUGCGCUUUCUGGCUUCGGCUUCAGCUGCCCUUGUUUUCUUGAGUUCUGAAGCAACUUUGGGGACCUUAGGCUUCGAGCCUGUCAUGCUGGCGGGGAAGACAAUGUGAGGUUCUUCCAGCCUGGAUGCUUCAGUUGGGGCCACAACAGGCUUCUUCUUCUUGGCAGCCAUCUUGGGGUCGAUGCUAGGAUGCCCAAGUGCCUUGCGCUUCUCGGCUUCAUUGUAAGCUUGAAGACAUUUGGCAGCGAGGUGUUUCAUCCACUCUCGUGAACCUUUUGCUUCUUCAUGUUUCUUGUGGAACGCCUCCUUGAGCUCAUGCAUCAUUUGCUUGAAGCUUUGGGCAUCAAUCACACUGAGCUUGGCCAUGUGCGUCUUGAACUGGGCUUUUUCAUAGUCAAUUUUGUUCUUCAGUUCAACAAUCCUCUGAGCUAGAGCCAGCUCAGGAGCAAUGGCUCCAUGGAAGGAGACGCUGAGGCCAAUUGGGAGCUGAAGAUCAUCAAAACUGAGGUUUGGGCUAUCAAACCACUCAUCAAUGAAAUUGUUCAGGAUGUCCACAUCGAAGAGGGGCAGAUCGUUGAAGAUUUUCGCCUCUUUCUUGCUCUUUAUCAGCAGCUCGAGAGCAUCGUCGCCAAGAUCUUCAUCACUUGACAGAUCUAUGGCUUCGUUCUCAUUCCUCAGAACGGCAGCUGGGGUCAAUGCUUGACCAGUAAUCUGCAUGGGCUUUUUCUUCUUUUCAGUCUUGGAGAUGCGAGAGAGAUCUUCAGAAUGCACACUUGGUGCAGGAGGAGCAGUGGCCAGAGGCUUCGCACGCGAAGCUCUUGGGGCAGUGGAGGGCUUUGAAGCCUUGGGUUUCUUCUGCUUCUGUGGCUUGGGUGGAGCAGGCGCUUCAUCAGAAUCAGCGUCGUCUGCAGAGUGCUCCACAGCUUCCCCCUGAACAGCAAUAUGAGUCAUGAGGCCUCAGAAUCAAGGUUGUAGAAGGGCCAGAUGAUAUUGGGUUCAACAUCGCGUGUGCCAUCAGCCUGAGGAGCAGAGGGACCGGGGUUGAAGCCUAAUCCCAGCGACUUCUUGUUCUUCGCUGCAGAGUCCUUGGCAAACUUGUAGUUGCGCUUGAACAGAUUGUCUUCACGGCACCAUAGCAGAGAAGAUGGGUCGACAUCUGCAGGCUGUGGUCCACGGACCAUGCAAGGGUAGAAACCCUAAGCAAUAGCUUCAGAUUUGGUCUUGGGUUGAAGAUUUUUAUAGAGAAUAUCUCCCCAAGGACGCUUGAUGGCAUUCUUUUCAGCAUAUUCCUUGGUGACGAAUCUGUACUUGAACCAUUGCUCGGCCCAAUAUCUUCGAAUCUAUUGGAUUCAUGUUUUGCGUUGGCCAUAGCUUUCUUCAGGAUCUGUUUUGUAUAACUCAUAAAGAUCUUCAAGCAAAUCCAUCGAAGUGCCCCCGCGAUGCUGUCUGCCUCCCUUCCUUGCUGACUUUUCUGUGGCCAUGUAGUUCAGACUGAAUGGAUUCAAAGCUAUCAAAGGCUUCUGUCUGCUGGUCAGACAAGAACUAGCUUCGGGAGAAUUGAUGUGAUGCUGUAAGAAUUCUACAAAUGAAUGCAGACUAUGAGAACCAAGGGAUUCUCCUACGGACAUGUACCUAUGACAGCAUCAGAGAUGCGGGGGAAGGGGAAGAGGUCAUAUGCAUUCUCAGAAGAUUUUGAAGAUAAAUUAGUUUUGAAGACAUUGACCUCAUAGCGCGAAGAUAUUCACAUAUAUGUUGAGAGUUGGUUCCAGAUUUGUACGAAUCCGAGAAUAGGUACAAGUGAGGAAUCUAACUAUGUGUGAAGUGAUGACCCACAAGUAUAGGGGAUCUAUCGUAGUCCUUUUGAUAAGUAAGAGUGUCGAACCCAACGAGGAGCAGAAGGAAAUGAUAAGCGGUUUUCAGCAAGGUAUUCUCUGCAAGUACUGAAAUAAGUGGUAACAGAUAGUUUUGUGAUAAGGUAAAUUGUAACGAGCAACAAAUAACUAAAGUAAAUAAGGUGCAGAAAGGUGGCCCAAUCCUUUUUGUAGGAAAGGACAAGCCGGAACAAACUCUUAUAUAAGGAAAAGCGCUCCCAAGGACACAUGGGAAUAUCGUCAAGCUAGUUUUCAUCAUGUUCAUAUGAUUCGCACUCGGUACUUUGAUAAUUUGAUAUGUGGGUGGACCGGUGCUUGGAUGCUAUUCUUACUUGAACAAGCAUCCCACUAAUGAUUAACCUCUAUUGCAAGCAUCCACAACUACGACAAAAGUAUUAACGUAAACCUAACCAUAGCAUGAAACAUGUGGAUCCAAAUCAUCCCCUUACGAAGCAACGCAUAAACUAGGGUUUAAGCUUCUGUCACUCUAGCAACCCAUCAUAUACUUAUUACUUCCCAAUGCCUUCCUAUAGGCCCAAAUAAUGGUGAAGUGUUAUGUAGUCGACGUUCACAUAACACCACUAGAGGCUAGACAACAUACAUCUUAUCAAAAUAUCGAACGAAUACCAAAUUCACAUGACUACCAAUAGCAAGACUUCUCCCUUGUCCUCAGGAACAAACGUAACUACUCACAAAGCAUAUUCAUGUUCAUAAUCAGAGGGGUAAUAAUAUGCAUAAAGGAUCUGAACAUAUGAUCUUCCACCAAAUAAACCAACUAGCAUCAACUACAAGGAGUAAUCAACACUACUAGCAACCUACUAGCACAAUUCCCGGACUUGGAGACAAGAAUUGGAUACAAGAGAUGAACUAGGGUUUGGAGAUGAGAUGGUGCUGGUGAAGAUGUUGGUGGAGAUUGCCCUCUCCCGAUGAGAGGAGCGUUGGUGAUGAUGAUGGUGGUGAUUUCCCCCUCCAGGAGGGAAGUAUCCCCGGCAGAACAGCUCUGGGGGAGCUCUAGAUUGGUUUCGCCAAGGUUCCACCUCGUGGCGAUGGAGUCUCGUCCCGAAAGGUUCCUUGUUAUUUUCCAGCCCAGAAUCCCAGCUGCCGGCAUUCUCCCUCCUUAUGUAAACCUUGUAAAAUAAGAGAGAAUAGCCAUAAGUAUUGUGACAUAAUGUGAAAUAACAGCCCAUAAUGCAAUAAAUAUCGAUAUAAAAGCAUGAUGCAAAUUGGACGUAUCAUGAAGCAUAAGUGAAUAUACUAGGCAUAUUAUGAGAUGCGGAACAGGAUAGAUCCAAAUUUGUAGCCACAGAAACCACUUUUGGUGAAGAAGAAUGAAUCUAUCGGAUCAAAAGGGCAGUAAACGUGAGUUUUAAUUACCACACGAAGAACUGCUAGACGGAGUAGAGAGGAGGCCGAGCAGUUCGAUCUUCCGUGCCCUAACUUGGCGACCUAGGACACCUACGGCGGCAGACGAGAAGACGAGGUCCGCGGUCGGCAUGAGGACGGCGUCGGUGAGGUCGCGGCAGCUAAGCGCUUCGUCGCCGGCGUCGUCGAGAGCUAGCGGUGGCGCUAGGGUUUGUCCGAGGUGGAGAGGUGGAAGAAGUAUUUUUGACCGUGAUGUGAUAUGUAUUUAUAAGGAAAGGGACAGCACAGCGCAAUUACGCAGUUGCCCCUGGCAGUUCACAUCUGAGGGACACGUGGCGAACAUGCAACACAUUGAAAGUUAUUCCAUGUUCCCACGCACGCCUGGACUGUCUGGUGGUCGUUCCGGCUUCUCCGGGUUUCAGGCAAUAAGGAUUGAGCAUUUAAAACAGAUUCAAUGUUUGUCUCUGUAUCUUCUGCUGACAAGGACGCAAAGAAGACAUUGACGGUUUCAAUAGAAUGCAUAUGAUUUGGAUAGAUAGAAUUUGAGGUAGAAGCAUAGAAGAUGUUAGGGUCCGAUCACAUUCACUUAGUCCAAAAGAUUCAAACAAGAAGACAUAGCUAUAAGUGAAUGCUGUAGAGGACAGAACACAAAUAUAUGUAUAUAUUUGAGUAAGAUUAAAUCAACAAAGUUAAGAUCAACAUGAAGACGGAUCAAUGUUGAAGAUAAAUCAAAUGCGAAGACUUAGCAAAUUCAACACCAAGAGAAAACACUCCAAACAAAACUUUGGUGGUGGCGUUACCCACCGUAUAGGAAGUAUUAGACCCAGACAUGGCCACAAUUAUCGUGGUGCUCCGAAGUCAAUUCUGCAUUAAUGUAUUCACACUCAGUGUGUAAGUCUUCAUUGAUUGAAAAUAUACAUUACUUCGUGUGUUGCACAUCUAAGCCAUCAACAUGCAUAAGUGUUAGGAUGUGUGCCUAAUCACAGGACUUUCAAGGACUCCAAGAUAUUUAGCUCACACCGCAACUUGCAAAACCUUUUCUCAUCCAAGGGCUUCGUGAAGAUAUCUGCUGAUUGUUCUUCAGUGUUGACGUGAAUGAUAUCAAUAUCUUCCUUCAUGACAUGAACUCUGAGAAAGUGAUGACGAAUCUCAAUGUGUGUUGUCUUCGAGUGCUAAACUGGGUUGCUGGCAAUCUCGAUGGUGCUUUCAUUGUCGCAGUAGAGAGGUACUUAUUUCAGAUGGAUGCCAUAGUCCUUGAGUGUUUGCUUCAUCCAUAGAAGCUGAGCGCGGCAAGAUCCAGCAACAAUAUAUUCAGAUUCAGCAGUGGAGAGCGAUACACAGUUCUGCUUCUUUGAAGACCAACAGACAAGUGAUCGUCCCAGAAAGUGACAUAUGUCUGAUGUAGACUUGCGAUCCACCUUGUCACCAGCAUAAUCAGCAUCCGAGAAUCCAACUAGAUCAAACUCUGAGCCCUUUGGAUACCAUAAUCCUAGUGUUGGGGUGUAAGCAAAAUAUCGAAGAAUUCGCUUCACAGCUAAGUGAUGCGAUUCCUUUGGUGCCGCUUGGAAUCGGGCACACAUGCGAACACUAAGCAUUAUAUCUGGCCUAGAUGCACAUAAAUAAAGUAAGAAGCAAUCAUGGAGCGGUAUACCUUUUGAUCGAACUCUUUACCAUUGGCGUCAGGACCCAGAUGACUUUUGGUUGGCCUUGGCGUCGUGUAACCUCUGCAGUCUUGCAUUCCAAACUUCUCCAGACAGUCUUUGAGAUAUUUCUCUUGAGAUAUGAAGAUGUCGUUGCUUUGCUGACGAAUUUGAAGACCAAGGAAGAACUUCAGCUCACCCAUCAUGGACAUCUGAUAUUGCUCUUGCAUCAUGUGUCCAAACUCAUCACUGUAUUUCUGGUUAGUGCAGCCGAAGAUAAUGUCAUCCACAUAUAUUUGGCACACAAACAAUUCACCAUCAUGUGUCUUUGUGAAGAGUGUGGGAUCCAGGGAACCAAGUUUGAAGCAUUUGCUCUUCAGGAAGUCUUUGAGUGUGUCAUACCAAGCACGAGGGGCAUGUUUGAGGCCAUACAGUGCCUUGUUAAGUUUGUAUACCAUAUCAGGAUGUUUUGGAUCUUCAAAGCCAGGUGGUUGUGCAACAUACACUUCUUCAAUAUUGCCAUUUAGAAAGGCAUUCUUCACAUCCAUUUGCUACAGAAGGAUGUUGUGAUGAUUUGCAUAAGCUAGCAAUAUGCGAAUGGCUUCAAGCCUAGCCACCGGAUCAAAUGUUUCAUCGAAGUCAAUCCCUUCUACUUGAGUGUAUCCUUGAGCAAUGAGACGAGCCUUGUUUCUGACAACUUGACCAUUCUCAUCUUGCUUGUUGAGAUAUAUCAAUUUGGUGCCAAUGAUAUUGUGCUUACGAGGAUCAGGACGCUUGACCAAUUCCUAUACAUUGUUCGGCUUGAACUGUUGGAGCUCUUCUUGCAUAGCUUGAAUCCAUUCAGGUUCCAUGAAGGCUUCAGCAACUUUCUUGGGUUUUGAUAUUGAAACAAACGCAAAGUGCCCACAGAAAUUUGCUAGCUGUGUUGCUUUUGAACAAGUGAGUGGACCAGGUGCAUUGAUGCUAUCAAUUAUCUUCUCAUUCUGUACUUCAUUUGAAACACGAGGAUGAACUGGACGAAGAUUUUGCUCUUGCUGAUCAAUGUCAUCAUUUGGAGAAUUGUCUUCAGGUUGAUUAGGUGCAGAAAUGAUGAGUUCCUCUUUAGCCUAAGCCUCAGAAGGUAUGAUCUCUCCAGUUCCCAUGAGCUUGAUGGAUUCACUGGGUGGAACUUCAUCUAGCACAUUGAGCCAUUUGAAGGAAAUAUGCCCUAGAGGCAAUAAUAAAGUUAUUAUUUAUUUCCUUAUAUCAUGAUAAAUGUUUAUUAUUCAUGCUAAAAUGGUAUUAACCGGAAACAUGAUACUUGUGUGAAUACAUAGACAAACAGAGUGUCACUAGUAUGCCUCUACUUGACUAGCUCGUUGAUGAAAGAUGGUUAUGUUUCCUAGCCAUAGACAUGAGUUGUCAUUUGAUUAACGGGAUCACAUCAUUAGGAGAAUGAUGUGAUUGACUUGACCCAUUCCAUUAGCUUAGCACUUGAUUGUUUAGUAUUCUGCUAUUGCUUUCUUCAUGACUUAUACAUGUUCCUAUGACUAUGAGAUUAUGCAACUCCCGUUUACCGGAGGAACACUUUGUGUGCUACCAAAUGUCACAACAUAACUGGGUGAUUAUAAAGGUGCUCUACAGGUGUCUCCAAAGGUACUUGUUGGGUUGGCGUAUUUCGAGAUUAGGAUUUGUCACUCCGAUUGUCGGAGAGGUAUCUCUGGGCCCACUCGAUAAUGGACAUCACUAUAAGCCUUGCAAGCAUUGUAACUAAUGAGUUAGUUGCGGAAUGAUGUAUUACAAAACGAGUAAAGAGACUUGCCGGUAAUGAGAUUGAACUUGGUAUUGAGAUACCGACGAUCAAAUCUCGGGCAAGUAACAUACCGAUGAUAAAGGGAACAACGUAUGUUGUUAUGCGGUUUGACCGAUAAAGAUCUUCGCAAAAUAUGUAGGAGCAAAUAUGAGCAUCCAGGUUCUUCUAUUGGUUAUUGACCGAAGACAUAUCUCGGUCAUGUCUACAUAGUUCUCGAACCCGUAGGGUCCUCACGCUUAAAGUUAGAUGACGAUCGGUAUUAUGAGUUUUGUGUUUUGAUGUACCGAAGGUAGUUCAGAGUCCCAGAUAUGAUCAUUGACAUGAUGAGGAGUCGCGAAAUGGUCGAGACAUAAAGAUUGAUAUAUUGGACGACUAUGUUCGGACACCGGAAUGGUUUCGGGGAGUUUCGGACAUAUACCGGAGUACCGGGGGGUUACCGGAACCCCCCGGGAGUUUAAUGGGCCAAGAUGGGCCUUAGUGGAGAAGAGGAGGAGCGUCUAGGGCUGGCCGCACGCCCCCUCCCCCUCUAGUCCAAAUUGGACAAGGAGGGGGGGCGGCGCCCCCUUUCCUUCCCCCUCUCUCCUUCCCUUCCUUUCCCCCUCCUACUCCAACUAGGAAAAGAGGGAGUCCUACUCCCGGUGGGAGUAGGACUCCUCCCUGGCGCGUCCUCCUCCUGGCCGCCGGCUUCCUCCCCCUGAUCCUUUAUAUACGGGGGCAGGGGGCACCUCUAGACACACAAGUUGAUCUGUUGCUCUAGUCCAGCCGUGAGCGGUGCCCCCUCCACCAUAUUCCACCUCGGUCAUAUCGUAGUGGUGCUUAGGCGAAGCCCUGCGUCGGUAGCAACAUCAUCAUUGUCACCACGCCGUCGUGCUGCCGGAACUCUCCCGUGAAGCUCUACUGGAUCGGAGUUCGCGGGACGUCAUCGAGCUGAACGUGUGCUGAACACGGAGGUGACGUACGUUCGGUACUUGGAUCGGUCGGAUCAUGAAGACGUACAACUACAUCAACCGCGUUGUGCUAACGCAUCCGCUUUCGGUCUACGAGGGUACGUGGAUAAUACACUCCCCUCUUGUUGCUAUGCAUCACCAUGAUCCUGUGUGUGCAUAGGAAUUUUUUGUGAAAUUACUACGUUCCCCAACACCGUUAGUCUCAUCGAACCGCACUUCCACAGUUUCAACCACUUUAUAGUGAAAGAGGUUGAAGACUCUGUAGGAGUGCGAAUUAUUUCCGUAACCAAGCAUAAAACCUUCAUGUGCUUUCGGUGCAAAUUUUGAAGUGUGAUGUGGAUCCUUGAUCCAGCACCUAGCACCAAAUACUCUGAAGUAACUGACAUUUAGCUUCUUACCAGUAAGGAGUUCAUAGGAUGUCUGCUUCAGAAGCUUGUGAAGAUAAACAUGGUUGAUGACAUGACAUGUAGUAUCAUUGGCUUCAGGCCAGAACUUUCUUGGAGUCUUGUAUUCAUCAAGCAUCGUCCGAGCCAUCUCAAUGAGUGUUCUGUUCUUGCCCUCCAUGAUGCCAUUCUGCUGUGGAGUGUACGGAGCAGAGAACUCAUGAGUGAUUCCUAGCAUAGCAAGAUAAGUGUCGAGGCCUGUGUUCUUGAACUAUGUGCCAUUGUCACUCCGGAUGUGCUUGAUCUUGAUGUCAUAGUUCAUCAUGGCACGAUUUGCAAAGCCUUUGAAGACAUCCUGCACUUCAUUCUUGUAAAAGAUUAUAUACACCCAUGUAUAUCUUGAGUAAUCAUCAACUAUGAUGAAACCAUAGAGGAAAGCAGUAGGAGUGAGAGUUGAGUAGUGAGUAGGUCCAAAGAGAUCCAUGUGAGGCAGCUCGAAGGGUUGAGAUGUCGUCAUGAUUGUCUUCGAGGGAUGCUUGGCCCUCGUCAUCUUUCCAGCUUCGCAAGCACCGCACAUAUGAUCCUUCUUGAACUUGACGCCCUCGAUGCCUAUGACGUGCUUCUUCUUUGCAAGAGUGUGCAAGUUCCUCAUGCCAUCAUGCCCUAGCCUCUGAUGCCAGAGCCAGCACUCUGAAGCUUUUGCUAGAAGACAUACAGCCAACUGUGGUCCUGCUGAGAAAUCUACCAUGUAUAAAUCACCUUUUCGAUACCCUUCAAAGACUAGAGACUUGUCAGAUUUCAUUAGAAAAGGCAACGAUAUUUUCCAAAUAUCACAAUCAUGUUCAAAUCACAAAGCAUUAAGACAGACAUUAAGUUGAAACCAAGGGAUUCAACAAGCAUCACUUUAUUCAUGUGCUGAUCCUUUGAGAUUACAACUCUACCUAGACCCAGUACCUUGCUUUUACCAGUGUUAGCAAAUGUGAUGUGACUCUUGUCGGAUGGACGUAAUGUUGAGUCCAUGAGAAGACUUCGGUCACCAGUCAUGUGAUUAGUGCAUCCACUGUCCAUAAUCCAUUCGGAAGCAUGAGGUGUCAGAACCUACAAUACAGUUAGGGGGAUAGACUUCACCAAGAGAAUUGUGAAGCAUAAACAUUUGACGCACAAGAGGAUUGUCAAAGCUCAGAUCAAGGUUAGGACUAAUAGGAUGAUUGGCAAGCGAUUCAGGAACAAAAUACAUAGUAAGACCAUUUGGGCAUUUAAUCUUGCGCCCCACAAGAUGUUUUAGGUCCCCAGCAAAAGCAUCGGACGCCUUUGAUUUCCAGCUGGAGACCUUUCCCUGCAAAAUAAAGUUAAUUUUUCUUAACCACCCACAUUUUCAGGGGUGGAUUAGAAGCAAUGAGUCUAAGUGCAGCAUCUGAGAACUUCGGCUUUGGAGCCCUAGCAAAUAGCCUUGCAGGAGGUGAAUAGUACUUGUAUGAAUAAGCAGAAUAGUUCUUAGUCUUAUGAACAUAGCGGUUUGAUGAUACACGCUCAUAUUCAUAAGUUUGAGUAUAAUUUCCUUGAAAAACAUUGGCAUUAGGGUGACUCAGGUGAGUCCUCUGUCUGUAUGAAGCCUUUGAGCCAUAUGAAGCAUUUGGUCUGGGGUUUGUCUUCUUCACUUGUGGUGUCAUGAUGAUAUUCACAAGAAGAUUCUCAAGACACUUUUUGGGCACCCAGAUCUUCUUCAUAGGUGGUCCAUUCCUGCAGUUAGUACCAAUAUCACCAUAGCCAUUCCUGCAGUUAGUACCGAUAUUAGCAUAAGUGAAGCCAGAUAAGGUGGAUGGAUCCAUUGAAGGUCCCUUUGCAGCAACCCAUGUGGUUUUGGGGUAGUGCUCAGGCUUCCAGUAAGAACCAUCAACAUUCAUUUUCCACUCGAACCCAACACCCUCUUUUCUAGGAUUUCGGUUCAGAAUCUGCUUUUUGAGGACAUCACAUAAUGUCUGAUGCCCUUUGAGACUUUUAUACAUCCCAAUCUCAAGCAAUGUCUUCAACCUAGCAUUUCCAUCAGCAAUAGUAGUGUGAUUCUUAGCAGAGGGGUUAGUAACCACAUCAGCAGUUGAAGAUAUUGUGACAGUGGCAGCAAUAGAACAUUCAGCAACAAAAGUAGUGUUGUCACGCUCAAGGCAUUUUAGACAUGGUGGUUCAAAUCCUUCCUGAGCGGGACUGAUCUGUUGAGCGUGAAGUGACUCGUUCUCUUUUUGAAGAUCUUCAUGAACUGCUCUCAAUUUCUCUAGUUCUUCCUUCCUUUGAAGAUAAUCAUAGAAAAUCUUUUUAUGAGUUGUUGAGAGCGUUUCAUGACGACUUUCAAGUUCCUCAUACUUAACAUGAAGAUUUUUUAUGUCUUCAAUUAAGGACUAAGAUUGGGUCAUUUCCGUGUCGAACAGAUCAUUGCUUUUGUCUAUCAGUUUUUGAAUAUGUUCCAUAGCUUUCUGUUGUUCAGUUGCAAUUUUAGCAAGAGUUUUGUAGCUGGGUUCGGAUUCACAAUCAGAGUCAUCUUCACUUGAUGUUUGAAAGUAAGCAUCGCGUGAGUUUACCUUGGCACCACGUGCCAUGAAGCAGUAGGUGGGAGCGGAGUCGUCCUUGUUAUUAGUAUCAGCGUUGGUGACGGAGCCAUUGUCUUCAGUGUUGAAGAUGGACUUGGCAACGUAGGCUGUAGCUAGAGCCAGCCUUGCAACGACAGAGUCGGACUCCUCCUCAGACUCCACCUCUGCCUCCUCAGAAGCAGACUCCUCCUCUGAAUCCAUCUUCUUGCCAACAAAAGCACGAGCCUUGCCAGAUGAGCUCUUCUUAUGUGAUGAAGACUUGGAGGAAGACUUGGAAGAAGACUUUGAGGAUUUUUUCUUCUUCUUGUCAUAAAAAUCAUAUUCUUUGUUCUUGUUCUUCUUGUUGUUCUCAUUGUCCCAUUGUGGACCCUCAGAGAUGUAAUGACUAGGUUUCUUGCACUUGUGGCAUGUUUUCUUCUUGUGGUCAUGAGUGGAAGCUUCAUCAUUUCUCGAGCUGGAUCUUAAAGACUUUCUAAAGCCUUUCUUCUUGGUGAAUUUCUGGAACUUUUUCACAAGCAUAGCAAGCUCCCUUCCAAUGUCUUCAAGAUCCCCAGAACUGCAGUCAGAUUCUUCUUCGGAAGAGGAAGCAGCUUUUGCCUUCAAAGCGCGAGUACGUCCAUAGUUGGGACCACAGAUGUCUAUUUUCUCAAAUAGCUGAAACACAUCUGUGUUGAGCCUCUCAAGUAUGUCAGAUGGAUCGAGUGUCUUGAAGUCAGGGCAUUCUUGAAUCAUCAGGGCUAGUGUAUCAAACGAGCUGUCAAGGGAUCUCAGAAAUGUCUUGAGGAUUUCAUGCUUGGUGAUCUCAGUAGCGCCAAGUGCAUGAAGCUCAUUGGUGAUAUCAGUGAGGUGAACAAAUGUGAGCUGGACAUUCUCAUUGUCAUUUCUCUUGAAGCGGUUGAAGAGGUUGCAAAGGACACUGAUCAUUUGAUCUCUCUGGGUUGAGACGCCUUCGUUGACCUUGGAGAGCUAGUCCCAGACUAGCUUUGAAAUUUCCAGAGCACUCACACGGCCAUACUGUCUUUUGGUCAGAUGACUGCAGAUGAUGUUUUUCGCAGUAGAAUCCAGUUGAAUGAACUUCUUGACAUCAACAGGAGUGACGCCUUCACCGCCCUUGGGAACGCUGUUCUUGAUGACAUACCAAAGGUCAACAUCAAUGGCUUCAAGAUGCAUGCACAUCUUAUUCUUCUAGUAGGGGUAACUAGUGCCAUCGAAGACAGGGCACGCAGCGGAGACUUUGAUUAUCCCUGCAGUCAACAUAGCUAAAACUCCAGGUGGUUAAACCAAAUCACACAAAACAAGAAAGUACCUCGCUCUGAUACCAAUUGAAAAUGCUAGUUAUCGACUAGAGGGGGGUGAAUAGGCAAUUUUUAUGAAAGUCUUCAAAACAUGGAAGUUUCAAAGACAAACGAUAUAAGUGAACCUAUUAACAUGCAACGGAAGGUAGACUACACUAGGCAAGCCAUAUUCAAUUAUUCAAUGAAGUGAAAGCACGAAGACUAAUAGCAGCUAGGUAGAAAGGAUCAGGAUGGAAGACAGUAUGAAGCCAGACAACAAUAGUCGUCACAUAGUGAAGAUAACAGAUAAUGCAAGCAGGCAAUGACUUCACGAAGACAACUAUAAUUAAAAAGAGGGAGAAGAUAGAACCAGUCACUUGGUGAGGACAACGAUUUGUUGGACUAGUUCCAGUUGCUGUGUUGUACGUCUGGUUAGGGAUGCUGAGAUUCAACUCAGAAGACCGUGUCUUCACCUUAUUCCCCUUGAGCUAAGGACACCUAGUCCUCGCCCAAUCACUCGGGUAAGUCUUUAAGGUAGACUUCCAAGCCUUCACAGACUUCGUUCACCGGCAAUCCACAAUGACUCUUGGAUGCUCAGAACGCGAUGCCUAACCGGCUGGAGGAUUCACAGUCCUCAAGUAUAACAAGUCUUCAAGCCACGCGGACAGUAAGAUUUCAGUGAUGCCUAACACUCUUUGGCUCUGGGUGUUUUAGGCUUUGUCCUCGCAAGGAUUUCUCUCUCUCAAAAGCUUCGGAGGUGGGUUGCUCUCAAAUGACAAAAGUCGUGCACUAACUCUGAGCAGCCACCAAUUUAUGGUGUAGGGGUGGGCUAUUUAUAGCCACUAGGCAACCUGACCUGAUUUGUCCGAAAUGACCCUGAGUCACUAAGGAACUGACAUGUGUUCCAACGGUCAGAUUUCAAACACACACGGCAGCUUAACUUGGGCUACAAGUAAAGCUGACUCAUCCAGCUCUGGACAAGAUUUGCUCUCAGUGUCUUCGCUCAAAGACAUAGGAUUUGGUUGAGCAUCACUUCAGUCACUCUGACUUUGUUCACUUGGACCCCACUUAAUAGUACAGUGGUUCCUAUGACUCAACAAAGAAGAAAAGAAAACUACAAACAACUAUGUCUUCGCACUCCAUAGACUUCACGUGAAUGUCUUCUUGAGUCAUAAACUUCAACGUGAUUGUCUUCACAUACCACCAUUGUCUUCAAUGUUUCCAUACAUUUUUAGGGGUCAUCUCCGAUAGGUAAAGCGAAUCAAGGAGGGACUACUACCUGUGUUAUCCUGCAAUUCUCACAAACACAUUAGUCCCUCAACCAGGUUUGUUGUCAAUACUCCAAAGCCAACUAGAGGUGGCACUAGAUGCACUUACACCGACUUACCGGGCACCACAACGUGAAAAACGGUGUUGGACGGCUUAAGAUUUUUGUCGAUUAAUCCCAUGCGACGGAAGGUUUCGUAGUAAUGUAUAUUAAUGCUGCUACCCCCAUCCAUGAGCACCUUAGUAAAUUUAUAGCCCCCAACCUGAGGCGCCACCACUAGAGUCAGGUGACCCGGAUUGUCAACCCGGGGCGGGUGAUCCUCACGGCUCCAUACUAUAGGCUGCUCCGACCAUCGCAACUAACGUGGUACUGCCGGCUCAACAGCAUUUACUGCCCUCUUAUGAAGUUUCUGGUCCCGCUUACAUAAGCUAGUGGUGAAGACGUGGUAUUACCCACUAUUUAAUUACUUCGGGUUGCUCUGAUAACCAGACUGUUGCUCCUGAUGAUUCCCUUGAUUAUUCUGCUGUUUGUAACCACCUUGAUUGCCUUGGCCGUGAAACCCGAAACUUGAGCCGCCACCUCCAUGACCCGGACCAUGAGGGCCGGACCUGAACCGCCGUUCGGACCAUGGUUGUGUUGGAAAGACUUCCUGAACUGUCUCAUAAUGUUGCAAUUCUUCCACAGAUGCGUAGACGGCUUCUCCUGUGUUCCAUGCUUCGGACAUGGCUGAUGCAUUAUCGCUUCAAGGUCAAAUUUUUUCCCUUGAGCCGGCCUCCCCUUACGACGCUGGUUAUAAUUCCGUGCACCGGUGUUAGCCACAAAAUCAUCAGCUUUACGCUUACCGUUACCGCCCUGAUUGGCCGGGUUGUGUUGCUGUCCCCUCAUACCGCUACUCUUAUUUCCCUUUCCCGAUCUUUCAUCCUCAGAGUCAGGGUCCUUGGUACUAUCAGAGUCGGCAUACUUGACAAGAGCCGCCAUUAGCUCCCCCAUGUCACUGCAAUGACGUUUAAGCCGCCCAAGCUUCUCCUUGAGUGGAAGGAAACGACAAUUUUUCUCCAACAUUAAAACCGCUGAGCCGACGUUGAUGUUAUCUGAAGAAUGUAUGAUAGUCGAGACCUGACGCACCCAGCUGGUCGUCGACUCGCCCUCAGCUUGAACACAGGAGACCAAAUCCACGAUCGACAUAGGCUGCUUACACGUAUCUUUGAAAUUUUGGAUAAACCAGGCCUUCAGCUCUGCCCAUGAAUCAACGGAGUUGGCAGGUAGCCCUUUCAACCAAGUACGAGCCGUUCCUUCCAUCAUCAUGGUGAAAUACUUACCAUAUGCGGCUUCACUAGCAUCCAGCAUCUCCAUAGCCAUUUCAUAACUUUCCACCCAAGACUCCGGAGGUUGAUCUGCUGUGUAAUUAGGCACCUUAUGAGGGCCUUUAAAGUCCUUGGGCAAACGCUCAUUACGCAGAACCGCCGUUAAUCAUGGCGCUCCCCAAGCUCUAGAGGUCACACCUGCCUCUACCGAAGUCGUCGGGUAAACCGGCGCAUGCUGAUGAGCCGCCAGCUCGGCCUCCUGAGGCGGUCUACCCGGAUCCACAAAAUUCUAGGCAUUGGCCCCAUUGCGCGCCGGGUCAUGCCCACGAGGCUGAUUACGACACUGCUCAGUACUUGAAACUGCUGGCGAGUCAGUGUGCCUGCUGUAGCUCCGGCUUGGACGAGGGGUCAAAUGAAUCCGAUCACGACUAUAAAAAUAAGUCUGCUGUUGUACCAGUGCUGUUUGAAGAAGUUCCCUGGCCCUUCGAGUUUCAACCGCCGUCAGAGUCUCGACCUCGACUGGCAGAGCCGUCAAUCGCGUAGCUGCAGCAAUCAUAUUGUCCAAAGGGUUGGAAUAAUGACCCGGAGGCGUUUCCACAUGCUAAGGUGGGGUGCUAUUCAUAUGCGGAGAACCUGUCACGCGCGGCUGAACCGGCGCUCUACCCCUUGGCGCUUCAGCCACCUGGUUUAUUACCGGCAGGUUACUGGCCCUUGUUCCAGAUGUGUUGAAGAGGUUCCUUGACUCAUAAACCAAGGGCAGACAACUCCGAUUUUUUCUUCUCCAGACCUCGUUUGCAGCAUUCUGAUCCACCGUGAGCCGGUAUGAAUCCGCUGUGCUUGGGCGUUCAAAACGGCGUGUUCUGCAAUCAUCCUACCGUUCUCCACUGCCAGCUCUUCCUUGGCUUGUGCUAUCUCAUCACACAGUUUAGCCACAUCCAUCUUAUGUUGUUCCUAGUUGUCCGGGGUUACCUCUACCUCCAUCAGAGUCGCCAGAGUCUCCAACAGAUCUGACAAGACUUGAGCCAGCGGGCAUGCUGAUCCACCAGCACUUGCUGCUGUUACUACCGCUGCGCUGGAAGUCAUGGCCGAAGAGGAUGUCGAACCGAGAACCGGCUAGGUGCUAGCCAUGAAGAUCGCUACCCUGUUCGGCGGCUCACGGGGGUCCGGAAUACUAUCACCAUAAGAAUGAAGAGAACCGAAGAUAUUGUAAAACUGUCUCACCACCAUGUUUUAGUCAAGAACAAGUUGAGAAAUAAGAUGGGUGAUAGUCUUUUGGAUAAUUGCCAAGUCACAUAUAUUAUGCUGGAUGUUUUUUCUAUGGUGAAUGAAGAUGAUUUAAUUGAUACUUUCAUGGUUAACUGCUCAAGGUAUGUACUGUAUGUAGGCUUCUUUUAUGCAAAACUGAGACUUGAAUGAGAAUUUUAGUGUGCUUUUAAGAUCAUAUUUAUCUAUUUCUGUGAAAUAUGUAAUUAGUUAAAAUGUUUACAUGGCAUAGUUGUCAAAAAAAAUGGAGACGGACCACCCCGGUGUCAAAUACUAGCUCCGCCACUGACCAUCGCCCCAGCCAACCAGAUAGAUGGAUGCAAAGGGUAAGGAUUCCCACCCCAAACCGCCAGCCCCUGCUGUUUCAGCUAGCACCCUUCCUCGUCGCUGGGGCUCGGAAUGGCAAGCAUCGAUGUUAAACUUAACGAGGACAACAAUAUCAAAUGUCAAUACAAAAAUUGAUAAUGGAUGCGAAAGUAGGAACAAAAAAACUGAACAAUAGCAACAAUAGGAAACUGCUUUUAAACUGGUUCAAUAAAAAGAUUUGACGUCAUCUUACUUUCCAAGGUCCACAAAAAGAACCACAGACAUAGUAACGCCAGGUUCACUUUUCAAGCUACAGGCCCGCAAUGUACAGAAGAGUACAUACGACUUGAUUUUUGCCAUGAGACCGCAACCAUUCACGAUUGCCAAUAAAGAUAUUCUUAAAAUCAAGAAGAAGCAAACAAAAGCUGUUCAGGAAAAUCAAGUUGUUUUUUGGAAUACUCACUGAUCCAAUUACUAUAAUCAGACAAAAGAAGUAUCAGACAGGUAUCAUAACAAACACAUGGCGCACAAGGAAUAGUUCAUAAAAUGAAGGUAAAUUUUGGAGUAUUGCUUGAAUGGCUCAGAUUUACCACACCAUGAAACACCGAAGUUGGAAAAUGCUUCAGACAGUACAACAACAACAACAACAAAGCCUUUCAGUCCCAGACAAGUUGGGAUGGGCUAGAGUUGAAACCCAUACGAUCUGGACACAUGGAUAGCUAACUUCCAUGCACCUCUGUCCAUGGCAAGAAAAACUCUCUUUCUUCACCCAGCAACAAAUAGCCGCAACUGGUAACUUGCUGCAGAGCAAGGCCUCCUAGUUUAACGACUAAUUGUCUAGCUGAGCAAAGUUGAAUGGAACCAACCUAGGAGAUGUAAAAACAUAACCAUCUCAGGAUAUGGUGAAAGAUCUCCAGCACCCCAAAGGGCGCAAGAAUCAUCAUAGCCAUUCAGUAAGGAAUAGAACUCAUCAACACACAAUGGAAACAAAUAUGCUGUGUCCAGAAGUUAAUUCAGAACAUUGUACUGAUGGUAACAUUACUACAUGAAAAAAGCAAUUGACAUUUUUUCACUUCAGAUAAAAGGAGUCACUGCAAGCAAAAUUAGAACAGGAUAACAUAAAUUUUCAUGUUUGAACCAAAAGAAGAACAUAAACUUGCAAACCAGGUUAUCACAGCACAGCAUCAACCAAAAGGGGUCCUUUACUCCAAACAGACAACAUGAAGUGCUGCUCGCUUGUUUAUCCCAUGAAAAAUGCGGUUCCAAUGCUAAAUAAUCAGGCAUGUGACAUUGGACAGUGGCAAUACUAUUCCACCAUGAAACCAAACACAUCGGUCCAACCUUUGGCAAAACGAAAACAAAACCAAAGCAAGAACACUGAAUAAAUUUGAAAAUAUAUAAGAUAUAAGAGAAGGGGGACAAUGGUUAAAGUACAAAUCCCAAAGGACCCAAGCAAAAGCUCCAAGAGCACCUUCAGUCAUGAUUAGACAAAAUAUAAGACCUUUUUAAACAAACUAAUGCAGUUGACAGGACACUCUCAUUUUAAACAACCUGUGUGGAAUCAGUUCCUCGCUAAUGCAUCAAAAUGUAAUUCAAAUAAUCAAUGUGGCAAUUUGACAGUAGCAGCUUAAAAAGAGACUAAUAACCAGUAAAAUAAAUGCUGCACUGACCAAAAUAAAACUAACGCAAUAUGAGCUUCAAUUUUUAAGAAAAGACAGAUAUCGCUGAUCAUAACUCAGUCUUUGAAGAAGCGUCUGGCAGGACAAGACAAGCAAGACAACAGUUUCUCGUUAACCACAUGAAUAGAAGUGCCAAUGGCUACAAACAUUGGAGAAAAAAGUACAAUCAUGACCACUCACGAUUGCCAAUAAGAUAUACUUUAAAAAAAGGCUGUUCAAGAAACCAAACUGUUUUCUGGUGUAUAUUUCAGAAGUACCCACAGAUAAAACUGCUAUAAUCAGGCAGAAGUACAACUGUUAGACUCAGGUACCAUAACAAAUACACGAGGAAUCCUCUAUUUCUAAAUAGCUACAACCCACUAGCUAAUUUUUCCUAACAUGCAGCCAUGCCACAUCAGCACCUAUGCAUGUCAAUCACGAAGCAUAAGUUACAUUUAUUUACAUGCAUUCCACGAUCUAAUUUUUCUAAGCAUGCAACAAUGCCACCUAAGGACCUAUGCAUGUCAAUUAUAAGUUACACCUUUUGCAUUAAUUUAACCAUGCGACAGUGCCACAUUAGCAAGCCAUACAUGUCGAUGGCGUUGAUAAGUUAUAUUUUUUGAAUUGUACAUGUCGAUGUCGUUGAUAAGUUACAUUUUUUUUAAUUGACUUUUACAUUGUCAUAUACGGCAUAUGUGGUGGAUACUUGAAGCAUACCUACAUAGUUCAUGAUUUGCAAUUUUUUUAUAGGAAUAACAUGGCAUGUUGUUAACUACACAAUGUAAAUCAAGAAUACUAUUAUUAUCUUGCAUUAGUUUAGUUGUUUUCUAGCACCUAUUAAUACAGUUAUUUUAACGAGGUUCCCGCGGCAACACACGGGGCAUCGUCUAGUAGUUCACAAAAUCCUGGGAAAAUUCUGGGGAGUACUACUUGAAUGAAUGGCUCAGAUUUACUCGAGCAUGAAUCAUGGAAGUUGACAAUGCUUAAGGUAGUACCAUAAGUAAUAAAACCUCUCUCUCUCUCCGCCCAGCAACAAAUAGCCACAACUGGUAACAUGCCGCAGAGCAAGGCCUCCUAGUUUAACGACUAACUGUCUAACUGGGCAAAGUUGAAUGGAACCAACCUAGAGACGUGAAAGACACCAAGGGGCAGAAAUCAUCAUAGCCAUUCAGAAAAGAAUAAUUAUAACCAACACAAAUGGAAACAAAUAUGCUGUGUUCAGAAGUUAAUUUGGAAGACUGCACUGAUGGCCGUAUUACUUGCAACGAAAGAAAAAUUGGCAUUUGUUACUUCAAAUAAAAGGAGUCACGGCAAGCCAAAUAAAAACAGGAUAACGUGAACUUUCUUUUUUGAACCAGAAGAAAGACAUCAAAAGGGUUAGUGCUGCAGAUUACACUGAACAUAAUGUAUACCAAAAUUAGAAUGGUAGGUUCAGAACUAAAUAAAUAUAUCUGAAUACAUUAAUAGACCAAAUGUAAUUAUUACUAUUGCUGAUGCUUGCAGUGCCGUAGUGCAGAAAAUGCGUGAAUGCAAGACCUUCCGCAAAAUAAAAUGCAGUUACGACUAAAUGGGAAUGCUGAGAGAAGAAACAGAACAUGCAUAGCAAAGGACAUACAGUUGCAAAUAAUAGAAUAGUUUGAUGAAAAGAUGUGAAACCCUCUGCCUCUUUCUAGGGCCCUCACAACACAAUUUUUUUUUAUUCAAACAAAGUAGUCCUUAGUGAUGCAUCGUUAUUUCAAAGCAUUCUUCUGUAAGCAACCACACUGUUAAGUGGAUUCUUAAUUCAAAUGUUUAACAGUAAUUGUUAGCCGCUAAACCAGUUACUUGUUGUGAUAUAAGCACUCCUAGUUUAGCACCAACUAAAUCAAUUCAGGUGUUAGAUAGAAGCACUAACAGGGAAGCUAUAUCAUCACAGCCAUUCAUGAACAUGACAUGAAGGAAACAAUAAUCUUGACAUCUGAACUUGCCCUAUAUGACCCUUAAGAAGAAAACCAGUAAAUAAAUGAGUGCCCAAAAGUACAAACUGAUAACUAGAUAAAUAGAACAGUAGCAAAAUGGAAUUAUCGAAAGUCAAAUGGCAAUUCAAACAACCAAACUGAUACAGUACCAAGUAAGAUAAUUUCUAAAAAUACCCAAGGGCAGCAUUAUUAUCACAGCCAUUCAAGGAAAAAUUAAGAACAGAAAACAAAAGGCCCGGAUGCACCAAACUGGUUCGCUUCAUGGACAACAAAAUCAUGGGAAGGCAAAGCGAACACCACGAGAGGUGAUCAGUGCGUAGUUAUUCCUAAUGAGAUGGCCCAAUGCCACAACCAUGACAAUUCAUCAAUUUGAAACAUAAAAAGGCGAUAGGGAUAAAUAGAUGUGUACACAGUAUUAGUUGCAUUGAGAUUUGAGAGGGCUCAGAUUCGCCUUUGAUAGAUCAUACAACCUAGCUCCAUCUUCUUUCACCAGAUCAACCCCACCACUGAGGUCGAGCUCCUCUGGUUAUCACUCAGCAGAAUGACCAUCCAAGACAGAGACAUCAAUAUUCAGUGAGAAUGAUAAGGUGCCAAAAGAGGGGAGAGUAGGUUUUUGAAGCCCACAGCUCCUCGAAUAAUCGAAGACAAGUUUAUGUCAGCCAUGUUUUAUCAUCAUCGCCCCAAAUAGAUAGAUAGAUAGAUAGAUGGAUCAAUGGAUGGAUAGAUUAACCAUGCUCUCAGGAGCUGCUCAUGCCUGGCAUCAGCCAACCAAACCUCCGGCUCGGACGAUGCAUCAGACAACACUGUAUGGUUGCCAGCUCACGACACAACCGAAUCCAAGGCAAUGGAAUGGCGGUGGCUGGCGGCACCAUAGCGUCAGUCCACCCAGACCAUGGGUCAGUGAGUAGGCAAUGACAGCUUGACUGAUUUGUUUUAGGAUAUAUAUAAUUAUAUAUAUAUAUAUAUAUAUAUAUAUAUAUAUAUAUAUAUAUAUAUAUAUAUAUAUGAGAGAGAGAGAGAGAGAGGAGGAGGAGGAUUCAAACCGAAUCCAAAACAAAACGCAACUGAACAGUGAAAAUUCAGUGUAUGUAGCGUAGCAAAAGAGGGCUCAGCUUUGUCAUUCAUCUUCAAACCCAACACCCACAUCUCUUGCUCCAUGACCUACCCAUCACAGUGUAAGAGAACUGCCCUGGUUGUCACUCAUCAGAACGACCGUCCAAGGCACAGAUCAUCCAACAUCAGCGACAAAUUGAGCAGGCUGCAACAGAGGUAAGGGUGGGCUCUAAGUGCAACUCCAUCGCUGACACCUACUUUUUCAGGUCUGUUUAGUCCCACAAGCCAAGGCUGUCUUGAUUGCUCAAGACAUGAUUAUUUCAGCCACAGUCAUCAUCAUCGUCGUCCUCGUCAUCGCCCCUCUUUUUGGUCCAAAAAUGACGUUGCCUCUGCACACCAAGCAACAUGACCAUGAUACCCCAUUACAUGUGUACACACAUCCAGCCAUCAAGCUCAGGAGCUGCUCAUGCCUGGAGUCGAUCGACCAAACCCCCCGGUGCGGACGGCACGUCAGACAAACAACGUACGGUUCCCAGCCAACGCCACACCCGAACCCAGGGCAAUGGAACGGCGGUCGCUGGCAGCACCGCAGCGGUGUAGAACUGACGCGUCAACCGGACGAUUGGCCAGCGAUCCGGCAACGAGAGCUCGCCUGAUUCGGCUUAGGGUUUGGGUUCAGGGGUGUGAACUGCGCGCACGCAGAGUGGGCGAGUGAGUGUGGGGGUCAGUCUCGGAGAGAGAGAGAGAGAGACGGGGAUCGUACCGGAUCCAAAGCAACAUCCAGCCAAGCUGCGAGAAAUCCAUCGACGGCGGCUCAGAUCCCGCGCCGGCCCGACCAUGCCCUCGACCGGAACGCAUCACGGGCCCCGCCGCUCGGUCCGCAGACGCCUCCCGCACUGGCGGCAGCCCCGAGGGGCCUCCAAGCCGAUGCGCGAUCCGGCGCGGCGGGAGGGGCUGGCCCCGAGGAGCGGCGACCCGCCGCGUCCGGAGGACGGGAGCCUGGCCGGCGCCGGCGGGUCCAUCCAUCAUCGCCGCCGUUUGGGGAGGGACGCGGUCCCGGCCGACGAGGUCAUCGGCCACGGCGAGCGAGACGGGCACGGCGGCGGGAUUCGGUCAGAUCCGAUCCGAUCCGAUUAGUUUAGAGCGGUCGCCUCCGCCGCCGCACGCAGCCAUGCCGCCGGUGGCCUCUCGCGCCCC
rnacentral:lncRNA from 1 species